rnacentral:lncRNA from 1 species
UGUAACAUCCUAAAUAUAUAUAUAUAUAUAUAUAUAUAUAUAUAUAUAUAUAUAAUAUAAAGAAUAAUAAGGAUAAUAAAAUAAAAAUAAAGAAAUAAAUAAUAAAAAGAAUAUGAAUAAAGAAAAGAAAAAGAAAAGAAAAAGAAAGGAAAAGAAAAGAAAAGAAAAAAAAAUGAUAAAUAAAUUAAAUCUUAAUUUAAAGACAAGUGGCUCAUUUGUAACCACUUACCCAAAUUAAUUAAAUAAGAAAAAGAAAAUAAUAAGAGGAAAAGAUCAUCUUCUUCCCAAAUAUCCCGUAUCCAUCCCCAAAAUUGCCCUAAAAUUCUUCUUCUCAAUUCUACUCCAAUUGCUUCCAAUUUUUCCACCCAACUUGCUAGCCUACCUCAUCCAAGUCCCUUCCCUAGUUGAAUAUUCAAAGUAGGAGGAAGAAUUAAAGAGAAAUUCAAGGUGGAGGGAGAGGAAAUAUUAAUUACAUAUUGGGAAUUUGAAAGGUAUGUUAGGGGUUUUUGUUGUAGGGUUAUUUCUUAUUAUUUUAUAUCAAUAUUUAUGUAGUUGAAUUAAAUUAAUAGAUUUAUAUGAUACGACAAUGUUUAAAAGUACAGUUGUAAAAUAAUAAAGUAUUAUAGUUUGAAUAAUUGACAGUUACACUGUAUUAACAGUUGUUGUCCCCCUGUUUAAAUGUAUAAAUUAUUGCAAGUCUGGCCCUAGUAAGUUUGGUGGGAAUUGUGGGUUAGUUUAAGGGUGUGGCAUGCCAUACAAAGAUCUUGCAGUACUGCACUACAGUUACACUGACUCUUGGGAUACAAUGAGGUAUCCUACAGUUAUAGAAUCGGCUUUUGAGCCAUACAGUUAUUUGGCACUUUGUGCCCUACAGUUACAGUUUCCUUAUCUGACUUAACAGUCCCAUUUAAAUUUAUAGGGGCCAACAGAAAAAUAAUAAAUAAAUAAAAGUAUUAAGAGGAAAUAAAAUCUUUUACAUGAUGAAAAAAAAGAAAAGAUUGUGAAAUGAAAAUAUGUAUAUAUGUAAAAUAAUAAUAUGAUUUAGCUGAUUUGAAAUUAUUUGUUAUAUAGUUAUUUGUUGUUUGUUUGUUUGAAUUACUGUUAUUACAUGAAUUUUGAUUUAAAUGUUUUAUUUAUAAAUAAAGUUGAGCACCACUAAGCAAAUUGCUUAGCGCGUAGGAAUUUGUUUUUCCUCGCGCAGGUUGUAGACCCAAGGAAUAGUAGAUCAAGAUCUGCAUCAACCCAGUCAGAGUUACAUCAUUGACUAUCUUGGGGUAUCUUUUGUAAAUUUCUAUAUGAAUUUGAUUUUGGAAAUAUGGCAUGUACAUAAAGUUUUGGAGAUGAAGUUGUAUAUGGUUAGUUAUAGAUAUAGUUGAAGAUUUUAAUUUUGGUAUAAAUGUGGAUGAUUAGUAUAAGUUUCUGUGUUGAGAUUAAUUAAAUGUUAUGAAGUGUUUGAUCUGAAUUGCAAUUGUAUCGAUGUUGAAAGAAGUUUGGGGGUUAAGGUUGAAAUUGAUAGAAGUGUGAUAUUACUUUUCACAGGUGGAAUUAAGUCCAUAUUGAAGGGGAAACUCUGCCGGAUUUUUGUAAAAAAAAANNNNNNNNNNNNNNNNNNNNNNNNNNNNNNNNNNNNNNNNNNNNNNNNNNNNNNNNNNNNNNNNNNNNNNNNNNNNNNNNNNNNNNNNNNNNNNNNNNNNNNNNNNNNNNNNNNNNNNNNNNNNNNNNNNNNNNNNNNNNNNNNNNNNNNNNNNNNNNNNNNNNNNNNNNNNNNNNNNNNNNNNNNNNNNNNNNNNNNNNNNNNNNNNNNNNNNNNNNNNNNNNNNNNNNNNNNNNNNNNNNNNNNNNNNNNNNNNNNNNNNNNNNNNNNNNNNNNNNNNNNNNNNNNNNNNNNNNNNNNNNNNNNNNNNNNNNNNNNNNNNNNNNNNNNNNNNNNNNNNNNNNNNNNNNNNNNNNNNNNNNNNNNNNNNNNNNNNNNNNNNNNNNNNNNNNNNNNNNNNNNNNNNNNNNNNNNNNNNNNNNNNNNNNNNNNNNNNNNNNNNNNNNNNNNNNNNNNNNNNNNNNNNNNNNNNNNNNNNNNNNNNNNNNNNNNNNNNNNNNNNNNNNNNNNNNNNNNNNNNNNNNNNNNNNNNNNNNNNNNNNNNNNNNNNNNNNNNNNNNNNNNNNNNNNNNNNNNNNNNNNNNNNNNNNNNNNNNNNNNNNNNNNNNNNNNNNNNNNNNNNNNNNNNNNNNNNNNNNNNNNNNNNNNNNNNNNNNNNNNNNNNNNNNNNNNNNNNNAAAAAAAAAAAAAAAAAAAAAAAAAAAAAAAAAAACAGCCAUGAUUUACAUGAUAUAAAGUAAAGGAAAAAUAAGAGAAUUGUUACAAGAUGUACUGUCUCCGACUCAGUUAAUUAAUUAACCGGGUAGGGGGUGUUACAGGUAAGGGGAGAGAGGGUCACCUAGUCGAAGACCCCUCGUAGGAACAAUAGGGUCAUACUUCAUGUCAUUCUGUAAUAUUCAAUACCGUACCGUCGAAAUACACCGCAUAAUAAGAGCAAUCCAAUUCAUAUGGAAUCCCAUUUUAAUCAAACAUCCGAUGUGUAUAUAAAUAAAUAAAUAAAAUUCUAACAGUUGGUUUGAUUUGAUUUGUUUUUAAUAAAAAAUCAAUUAAAUUUUUAUAAAAUUACAAAUAAUUGUUUUUAAUAAAAAAUUUUAUAAAUUUUAAAAAAUAAAUUCUUUUACUUUAAAAAAAUUAAAUUAAAUUGAAUUCCUUACGAAGUUUUUGAUUUCAGAUAAAGGGUAAGCAAUCAUUUAUAUAUACAGGUAUAUUUGCAACUUUCUUACAGUUUUGUACAAGUUAUUUCUAUUACUCGAACUUAUGAUAUCAAUUUUUUGUAUAUGUAUUUUCAAACAGUGCAUACAAUUUUAUUUAAUUUACUUUAAAUGCCAAGUCUGUUGAAAUUAAACAUGUAUAUGUUCGAUUUUAAGAAUACCAAAUUUAGAGAAAUUAGAUUUACCGUGUUUAUAAACUAAAAUGGAUAUGAGAAAAUAUCUAAAUUAAAAAAAAAAAAUCAUAUACUUGAUUAUUUAUUAUAUAACAUAUAAAGAAAUAGUAAAUCUUGUACUAUACAUACUUUCUUAGGCAUUUGAAUUUCCAAUGGAGAUUUUUUUUUUCUUAAAAAAAAAUGGCAGAUUGAGAUUUCUUGUAAAUGUAGCGUGUAGUUAAUUUUUUGGUUGGAAGCAUUUUCUUGAGCAAGUUGUUUUCAACAAAGACGAAGAUUGGAUCAAUUAGUACCCAAUACUGCAAGUAGAGUUAGCUGUUAGCAAUUAGCAAUUAGCAAUUAGCUAGGGCAAGCAGUGAAUUGUGAGAUAAGUUAGAGAUUGAGUGCAAGAAUCCAUUGGGUUCAAAAGAGAUUGUUUACCCACACUGGACUUAGCCCUUUUUUUUAUUUUCUUGAUCAAGACUUAGCUAUUUUGGAUUCUUCCUAUUUGAGAGGCUUUUACUGUUCAUUAUAAAAAUAUUAAUGGAUAAUAAAAGAAAGUAUAUAAUAUAUUAUGCCUAUUAGGUUGCUGAAGUGGCUAUGACAACCCAAAUCGUCAUAACAACUCUAGGAAACAAAAUAUUGUUUUUAUGUGGAUUUUAUUGUUUAAUUAAAUAAAUUUAUAAUAUAGAAUUUUAAUUUAGUAAUAUCAAAUUAAUUUUUUUAAUUAAAAAUAAGUAAAUAAAUAAAAUACUGAAUUAGAUGAAUUAUGGUAAAUAACAAAUUGGGAUGUUUUCGAAAAAAAAAAGAGAUGAGGAAUAUUUUUCUUAAAUAGUUUAUUAACAAAAUGAAAAUGCAAUAUUAUUUUUAUUAACUUUUCAAUUAUAUCUAUUUUAAAAUAUUACAUUUUAUUAAUUUUUUAAUUUAAUUUAUUUAAUAUAGACAUAAUUAAAAAAUUAAUAUAAAAAUUAUACUUUUUAAUAUGUGUAAAAAAGAAAAGUAACAAGAAAAAUUAUAGAAUGGAAAAAAUAUUAUAUUAAAUAUUAAUAAUAAAAAAUUAUAGUAUUAACUGACUUUUUAAAUUAAAUUUAGAGUGCAAAUGAUGUAUUUGUAAAAUAGAAGAAUUUUUUUUUCAUGUUUAGGUUUGUAAUCCAUAAAUUUAUUGAAUUGUAACAUUUGGAGUAUUUAAUGUAUAAUACAUAAAUUUGAUAUUAUUUAUAUAGAGAAAUGAAAAAUAAAAUGGCUGUCUUGUAGGUGUCAAUAUUAUAGGAAUUUUCCAUGACAAGAGACAGAUGGAGGCUUAUAACGCCAUUAAAGUUGGGAUGGGGAGUUGCACUUCCAUGUGUAUUUUCCAUCAACUGGAUUUAUUUCAUUAUCUUUAGUUACACAUACCUUUUCCAUUUACAAUUAUAGUUUCUCUCUUUUCUCUUUCUUUUUUUUUUUUGACUUUAAUGUUCAAUUAAGAAGCUUUGAAUAAAUUAUCCAAUAAGAUCAGUUUAGUUGGUAAUAAUGAGAGUUCUCUUUUUCUAUAAAUUUGACUUUACUCGUAGUAUUUCAAAAAAUAUAAAAAUAGUAGCAAAGGUCUAGAUGUCCUUCAAGUGGCCCUAUUCCUAGUGGUAUCUGUGAGAUCCCAAUUACUUUAAUUUUCAAAGUUUAAGGCCUGAAGUCUAUUUCUCAAUUCCGAUUGAUAAGUCUGUGUAAUGAUACCAGUAAGACCAUCACAAAGGUCCUUAUGAAUCAUAUGAAAAGGUUAUGCCUUCUCUCAUUUCUCCUACUCAGUGUAGUUUUAUCCAUGGUAGAUAGUUUCAGGAUAAUGUCAUCAUUCUUCAGGAGGUGGUUCAUUUUAUGCAAAGACCUUCGAGGGGUGAUGGUUAGAUAAUUUUAAAGAUUGGUUUGGAGAAAGUUUACGACAGGCUUAGGUGGAACUUUGUUCUAGACUCUAUGCGGUUGGCAGGUUUCCCAAGCAGUUGGGUGAUGAUUGUUUCUAAUUGCUUGUUCAACUGAUCUAUGCAUGUCCUAUAAAAUAAUCAAUCUUUUCCUUGAUUUCAACCGUCAAGAGGUAUUUGUUAGGGGGACUUACUCUCACCUUAUUUAUUUAUCUUAGACAUGGAAAGAUUGGGUCAUCUUAUAACUCAAUCGAUUGCAAAUGACAAUUGAGUUCCUAUUCAAUUAUCUCACUGAUGUCCUCCCCUAUCUCAUCUUUUCUUUGCUAAUGAUCUACUAUUAUUUGCUAAGGCCUCUACAGAGCAUAUUACUGUAGUUAAAAUAUAUCUUGAUGAGUUUUGUGUUGGCUCUAGGUAAAGGGUUAACUAUUCAAAGUCUAAGAUCCUCUUUUCACUGAAUGCGGCCACUCAGUUACAACAGCUAAUUUGUGAUGUUGCAGGGAUGUCUAUCACUACUGACCUUGGGAAGUAACUAGGCAUUCCAAUUGUCCAUGGACAUAUACAUAAGCAUAUGUUUGCACCACUAUUCCAGAGAAUGGAUGUUGCUCUAUCGGGUUAGAAAACUCCUAUGCUCUCUCUCUCGGGCAGAAUUACUCUGGCUAAAUCUGUUCUCAAUGCUUUACCUAAUUAUAUUAUGCAGUCCUUCUAUCUCCCUCGGGCAAUUUCUGAUGUUCUUGAUAAGAAAACUCGUGAUUUUAUUUGGGGUGACUAAGUUGGUAAAAGGUGUGUCCAUGCAGUAAGUUGGGACAUCGUUACAUUGCCUAUUGAUCGCAGUGGCUUGGGUAUUCGUAGUUGUCGGGAGAUGAAUACUUUUCUUGCUAAACUGGAUUGGCGUCUUCUUCAUGAUGACAACAGUCUCUGAAAUUUCAUUUUACGAGGUAAAUAUGGGGUGACUUGUUAGAGUGCAGAUGCUUUCUCUCCUAAGAACAAUUUGUCGGUUAUUUGGUGUAGCCUUGUUCACAAUGCUCCAUUGCUCCGAAAAGGUAUUUCCUUUUCUGUUUAUAAUGGUGUGUCGAGUAGUUUUUGGAAUGAUUGUUGGGUUGGUCAUACUCCUUUGUUGUCCUUGGCUAUUAAUCGUGUUCUCGAGUCCUUCAAAUCUCUCAUUAUUGUGCAGUUGAGGUUUUCAUGGGAUUGGGCAUGGGACUUGAUACGAUCUUACUUUCAUGAGGAUGCAUGUCUUCUAUUAGAAUCCAUUUCCAUUGUUCAAUAUGUUAGAGCUUGUGAUGAGGUCUCCUAGUGGUUCACAUCUUCAGGUACAUUUUCAGUUAAGUCUGCAUAUGAGUUGAUGGACAGGUUUGAUAAUUCGCCUAGGGAUGCUAUAUGGAAAUUGCUUUGGAAGAUCAAGGUGCCCCAAUGGUGUUGAAUGGUUUAUUGGUUGUUGCACAUGCAAAAAUUAUGAUCAAUGCUGAAAGAUUUAAACGUGGGUUUACUAAUAACCCGACUUGUGCUAUUUAUGGCCAUAGAGAGGAAAUAAUUCUUCAUGUAUUACGAGAUUGACCUGCUGCCUGGCAUAUUUAGAAUCAGAUUUGGGACACGAGUGUAACAUCCUAAAACCUAUAGUUAGGAAUAGUGACAUGACUAAGUAUGAGUUAGGUUAUUUCAUUAUUAGAGCAAGUGGCAUUAGGGGAGGUGCUAGCUUACCCCGAGUUACUUAGGGGAGCUGCUAGCAUAACUUUAAACUGCUAAUAACUGAAUCAUAGAAAACUCAAAUAAAGAAACGGAUAUAUUUAGAAAUAAAGUAGACAGUGUGAUUAGCGAGUCGGAAACGAAUUACUUUUGGGAGGUGUUUAUGGUUUUCUGACGUGCUUGCUUCAGGUGCUUGUUAAAAUAUCACAUUUACUUUAAUCACUUGAUGAAAUUUACUUGAACUACCUAAUAACUUGAUAAAUACAGAUAAAGGAAAUUGAUUAGCCUUAUAUAUCUAAAAAGGUAUAGUUUGUGACAUUCCUUACACUGUCUACACUUUGAUAGGGUAAGGAGUGUUACACCUAGCACAUCUGAAUUCUUUUUCGAUUUGACUAUGGUUGAUUGGCUACGCUAUAGUGUUGGUUUUAUAUCUUCUUUAUCAGUUGCUUAUCAACCUCUUGAGAUUUUAUUUAUUAUAAUAUGAUGGAUUUGGAAAUGGUGAAAUGCUAUGAUUUUUCAACAAGCUCCUAAUGGUCUACAACUUGAUGUAAAAUUACGUUCUUUAGUAUAUUCUCUACAUUGUAAUAUGGAUGCUUGAUCGCACCGAUCCUUAUCUUCUAGUAAACAAGGACAUAUUGUUAUUUCUGUAUUUUGUCAACCUCCUAUGAUGAGUAGGUUAAGCUUAAUUAUGAUAGGGCGAGUAAAGGGAAUCAUGGUCGUGGAAGUGCUGGUGGUGUGAUUCGUAAUCCUGCGAGAGGCUAGAUUGUGGGCUAUUAUAUUCGAUUGGGUGUAUGCAGCAUUGUGGCUGAGUUAUAGGACCUUAUCUAUGGUUUAUCUUGUGCAUAGAAGUAAGGCUUUCGUCAGGGAGAAGUGAAUGUAAAUGUCAGUUGGUUUUAGAUUUUAUUAUCUGAGAAUGUGGUAUUGAGUUAUAGGUUGAAAGAGUUACUUUUGCAAUAUAAAUCACUUCUAUUUAGAUCAUGGCGUGUUUGAUUACUCCAUUAUUAUAGAGGAGCAAAUCGUGUAGCUGAUUAUCUUGCAAAUUUUAUAAUCUCUACAUAUACGAGCUGUCAUAUUCUGAACUCCCACCAAUGGAGAUUUUUGAUUUCUUACUCAAUAAAAGAAGGAAUAGGAUGGUCUAAAGUAAUGCCCUUAAUUAGUUAAUAAUUUAUAAUUUCGUAAGAUGUUCUCCUUUUAUAUAUAUAUAUAUAUAUAUAUAUAUAUAAUAUGCAUUUUUAGAAUUAUUUGAAAAUUAACUCAAUUUUGACAUAUAAAAACUAAUUUGCGCCCCAUUUCAAAAAAAAAAAAAAAAAAACCUAAUCUGCGAAUGUGUUGUCACUAUAAAUAUCAUCGGAAAAUAAAAACUUUGGAUAAAAAAUUUUAAUUACAAUUAUCUUUCAACUUUAAUAUACAUAAUGAAAAUUUUUAAAUUUUAAUUACAUAUUUUUUGAAACUUUUAUAAAAUAUUCAUAACAAUUACAUAUAUAAAUAUAUGCACAGACAUUAUCUGAAAUAGUAUACCGAUUACUGUUAUGUUUUUCAAAUCUUUAUAUUUUAUUAUAUUUUUUGUAAUUAGAGUUUGGAUGGGCAAGACUGGUGAUGUACACUACAACAAGCUGAGGUUUUCUUUUAGUUUUUCAUGUUUCUAAUUUAAUGGCGUAAAACUAUACAGAACUCAACAAAUACUUAUUAUUAGCCCCUAAUUAAUUAUAUCAACUCCCAUUGAAUUUGACAUGCAAGAAUAAGUUUGAAUAUGAAUGUCACCCUGUUAUUCUCAUCAGCUCAUCUCUAUAAUCAACCUGUUAUUUUCAAGUUUACUGCACCCGUUAUUAUCAAUCAACUGUGAUCCAUUGACAUUAUAAGAAACCAGUGUUUGUUGAUCACACCCAACUGCAGCACAUUACUCUGAUUGCAACGGCAACAAAUUGACAAAACCGAGAUAUACAAGAGAUUCACACAUGAAAAAAGACUAUUGAAAUAUAAGACCAAAAGUGUCAAUACUAAAAGUUGUGGAUUGAAUCUGCCACAUUCACCGCUUAAUUAGUUGUUUUCUCCAAUGUCGCAUAUUCACCACUUAAUUAGUUGUUUUCUCCCAAUGUCGACCACUUAAAUAGUGGUCUUUUCCAAUUCCCCACUUAAGUAGCGGUCUUUUCCAAUUCUUUAACUGUAGUUGUCUUUUCCAAUUCCUUUAACUGUAGUUGGGUGUUCUUCCACAUUAAAUUCAUAAUUUUCAACUUCGUUCUAUCUAUUUCUUUUAAUAUUUAAGUUAUUUAAUAUUUAAGUUCAGCAAAUUAAUAAAAAAAAACAUAAACAUGUUGAAAAUUAUCAAAAGUUAUUGAAUAUUAAAACUCAAGAAAUUUUCCAAGUUUUUUCUUACCGAACUCGAACAAUCUUCAGCGUAGGUUGAAAAAAGAAAAUCCAAAAAAAUCCAAUUACACUUCCAUCCAAUAACUCUAUUUUCUUUCACUCAAUUGUGUAAUCAGAUCCUAUCUAGGGACCAUAACAUAAUCCAAUAAAUAAUUUAUUGAAACCUAAAUGUCUCGUUAAAUUUACAAGAUCUGCAGCAGUAACGAAGUUUCAAUACAACAUUCUCGCAAGUCGGAGAUGCGAGCCCUGGUAAUUCAGGCUUUUAAUCACAUGCCCCAAACACCGCGAGCUGCUGUAAAUUUGUUGUUUGGUCUAGAUGUCAGCUCAUACAAGAUCCUUGCAAAUGUAUCAGAAUAUCUGCUUUCUGAGAAGAGAAUAUCUGCAAAUGCAUUCUCAUAAGCAAGCAGCAACGCCCUGUUCUGUGGCUCAGAGACCAGGCUCUCCAGUAUCAUUGCCGCUUUCCUGCAAACUUCUGGUACUGGGUGUGGCGUCUUGAUCACCUUCAAAAGCCGAUCAACUGCCCUGAAUUUCAUAAAUUAUACAUCGAAAAAUGUCAUGUCACUCCAUCAAUAAACAUUAACAAUAAAAUUCUAUACUAUGAAGUUUUUCCUUGAAUAAUCUGUAAUUUCGGAAACAGAAAGGAAUAUUACCAUCGCUCGCUAGCAAGCUUCAAUCUGCAAUCCAUAUUAACUUCUGCAAGGUUAUAUAGUGCACCCACAGCUGCAGCUUGUGCAUCUAAUGCCUGUAUGCUCAUAAGGUCUACCAAACGCUUAUGUAUCUGCAUCAUACAUUUGAGACCUAAUUACAAUUUCAUGCAAAUUAGAUAUAUGACCAGUCUAUUUGAGUGAUAACAACCUGUGGAACAAAGGGAAGAAGGAACGGUUCAUUGUCAGGAUUUAUAAUCAUGCGCCCCAGUAAUUCUGCAGCAGCACAAUGCCAGGCUUUAACUGUAGAACCUAGCAUCCCCAUGAUAGCUUGGACUGCACGUUUCUCUCUAUUGAACAAAAGCAAUUAGCAAACAUAUCAUCCAUAUGUCGUUAUCAGAAUUGAAUUCUAAAAGCAAACAGAAAAAAGAUUUCUCACGUUAUUUUGAUGUAAGAUGGUUUUGCUGAACUGAAGAUUCGAAGAUCAAGCAGUGGAGCCAAAUUUACUAUUGUCUCAAGGGCAUUUGUAACAAGUUCCUCAUCCUCUGUCAAUAUAUUUUUAAAAAGCAUUUAAGAAAAAAAGCAGGAAAUAUUAAAUAACCCACAUUGGUUUUUAAUGAAUUAAUCUGAGUAAAAAAUAAAUAAGAAGGAUUAACAACAAUUCAUCUCUGCUACCAGUUUAAUACCAAUCCUCAACAUAUCUGGAGAUGCAGUAAUUAACAAUAUCCGACUGUUUCACUUUACAACCAUUUCACAUGUGACACAUGUAAGAAAAAAUGGGAGGAUUUUACCAUUUUCCCUUCAGAAAACCAGAAGUGUAAAAUUCACUUGUAUGUAACUAUGAAACCAAAGACGUUAACUUUAUAGUAGGGUUUGGAAAAAUAUGUCACACAACAGGAGGCACUCUUCCCAAUUCGAUAUUAUCUUGGCCUUAGCAUACAAGCCUAAGGAUUUUCCAUGAGGCUUCUCCUGAGGCUUCUCCUGAGACUAAGCUUGUGUCAGACAAAGCCACUCCAAACCCACAUAAGGAGAACUGAAUACGUUGUAGGCCGGUGCACAACGUGAAAGCCUUUGUAAACAUGGAUCCUCAGAAAAUGACCCUAUACAAAGAUGACUGGAGGAAAAGGAUCCAUACAGCUAACCACAACCAACUUCGAAAUUGAAGACUUGAGUCCGAAAAUAAUAUAUAAAUCAAAUAAAAUAAUCACAUCUCAUCUAGUAUAAAGCAACCACACAUAAAACUAUUAUUUCCCUUAUGUAAAGUUCUUACCAGUAAUAUGGUCUUCUAUACAUUGGAAUACAGUUUCCAAGCAAUGCCGAUGUUGGGCCAUAAUGACUUCAUUCUCUGGCAUGAAGGAGAAAUUGCGUAUGAUAUUUGAAGCAGCCACUGCACACUGCUGCUUUUCUGCUCGGCCUUCCUCAUCUAAGUUAAAUAGUCCAUCCUCAUUAAACCACCACUCUGAAGGACGAGCUUUGGCUGCAUUCUUCUGCCAUGAAGCUUCAGUUGCAGAGGAACCUGACCCCAAUCUGCCACACAAACAUUAUCCUUAUUCACUCUCCAUUGUUGUCAAAGCCAAAAGUUUUGAUGUUUUAGAAACAAGUAUCUGUACGUACACAGAACGACUGAGAUUGUUGGUUGAUCCCAAUGCCUCGUAUCCAUAGCCAAAUCCUGUAACCAAAGAAUUGGCACCUAAAGUUCUAACCCUAGGUGUCUUGCUGAGCUCUACAGGAAGUGCUAUAUCACGCCAGUCAUCUAUCUGUUUCAUUUUAACACGUUAAUAAUUUCAAUAAUCCAAUUUGCAUAGUUUAAUGACUUCUUAAUUUUAUCAAAACUGUAUUGCAGAACAUCCCAUAUGCCACAUUUGCAUAGUUUUUCCUUCAUAUAAAAAGGUUGAUUUCAUUACCCAAUUAUGCAAAUUUGACUCAAGGCACAACACCUAUUAUGCAAUGAAUACCAACACCCAUAUACUUCUGACGUUCUAUAAUGCAAACUUCACCCUCUAGAUACAGACAUAAUCCCUAAGACACACAUAAAUACGAAUAUUUCUCUCCUUUUUUUUGUCAAAAAUAUUUCUCUGACUAAGUUAAAAGAAUUGAGGGAUGAGAUUGACAUACAACUUGGAGAAGAGCAUCAAGCAAGCCAGGGAUUUUAGCCAGAGAAUCCUUUCGCAUGUCUUCCUUUUCUUUGAAAGAGAGCAUUGUAAGAGUGUUCAAAGCCCAUAUCAAUUCACUCUUCAACCCACUUUGAAGAGCCAAAACUAUUCUCUUAUUAUUUUGAUCUGAAAAAUAGAAAGAAAAAUCACAAUGAUUGUUAGCUAACACAGAAGUGGAACUCAAAUGGCUGCUUAGGUUUUCUGUUAUUUGAUUAACCCACCUACAAAGGAGGUGUGAACUUGAAGCGAUGGGCCAAGGAGAUUGGACGGAGCCACGGUGUCCCCGCCGGAAGAUGAAGAGGCGAUAUUGCUGCUUGUGCUGCCGAAUGGGCGGCCACGCUUGGCCGCUGGUGCGGUAGCACCACCAGCUGAGCCACCAGCCUUGCUCUGGUCCCUCUUCUGCAUCACAGUCUCGUCUUGCGGGUUGCCCGUCUGGCGUGGCUAUUUGGCAAUUACGGAUCUAUUUUAGGGAUUGUGCGACCCGGGUCCGAGAAGACCGCAUAUUUAACUGGCCUGGGACUCUGGACUUUAUGCAUGGUUUUUAGUGGUCGACCCGAACAUGAAUAAUAUGGAUCCUACACCAAAAAGAUUUUCUAUUUUAUUUUUUUAUUUUAUCAUUUUUAACUUUGAAGGAAAAUGUUUAAAAAAAACUUUGAAGGAAUAUAAAACUGUAUGUUAUAAAUCUUAUAUAAUUAUAUCAAUAAAUUAUAUAUAUAUAUAUAUAUAUAUAUAUAUAUAUAUAUAUAUAUUUCUUUUGAUUAUUUGAAUGUCAGCAUAAAUAAAUUUAAUUUUCGUAAAAUAUUUAUCAAUAUAAAAUAAAAUAUAUUGAUUAAAAAAAGGUUUCUUUAUAAAGAAAAAUUUACAAAACAUAAUUUUUUUAAUCAUCGCAAUGAUUAAUUAUUGGCCUUUUAUUAUAAAUUGUUAGAUAAAUUGGUGUUAAUUAUUAUUAUUAUUAUUAUCAUUAAAAUAUAUUUAUUUAACUCUAAUACUUCCAUUUAUUUUAGUCCAUUUAGUAGUUAAUAAUUAAGAAAAAAUAGAAAAUACCCUCAUUAAAUUAAGCAAUCUUAUAAAUAAUAAUUAAAUUAGUUAUAAUAUUUAUUAUUAUAUAAUAAAAAUUAUACAUUUGAAUAAAAAAUAAUUAUAUUUUAAAUUUUAUUUUUAAUUAUUAUAUAUAUAAUAUAAUAAAUUAAUAAUUAUAUAUAUAUUUUAUUAAUAUAUAUUAUUAUUAUUAGUAAUUUUAUAUGACCAUUUAAAAAAAAAACUUUCGACGCAAGUUUUUAUCAGUAGGUUUUUUUGUGACUUGAUACUCUCGCCUUUUCAUCUUUCUCAAACCUAAUUUCUUCUUUUCCCUUCCCAUGAAAGAUGAUAUGCGUUAAUUAACUAUCGAUAAAAAAGAAAUAUUGUUGUCCCUAUUAAGAGUUCCAGAGAUAUUCUGAUCGUUAUUUAUAAUUUCUGUAUGGUGGAGAUAUUUUUCACAUACAAUCCAAUUAAUUUUCAGAAUAUACAAAUCUCUUUUACAGAUUUAUGACGGUAAUCAUUGGACAGUUAUUGUAUUGAAAGAUUUAAUUUCUCUUACAGGCUGAAUAUUAUAUUUUUGAUGAAAAUAAAAACUCUUAGUUCUCAUAUGAAAUUUUUUCAUAAUUUUUUAUAUUUUGAUGGUUGGGAGGAGGUUUUCUAUUAAUGUGGUAAACUCUUAGUUCCCAUAUGAAAUUUUUUCGUAAUUUUUUAUAUUUUGAUGGUUGGGAGGAGGUUUUUCAUUAAUGUGGUAGAUUCAUAGGUCUGUUGCUAUAGUUGGCUUUUUUUUUAAAUUUUAUUGAUUCGAUUGUUUCGUAAGGUAAUAUUCAAUGGAGAUUUACUAAUUAUUAUGGAUUUCCAGAAUUGCAACGACGAUAUCAGUCUUGAAAUCUUAUUCGAAUUUUAUCUCGUAGCAGCUCUUUUCUGUGGUUUUAUUUGGAAAACGUUAAUGAUUUAUAUUCGAAAGAUGAGAAAGGAAGAGAAGUCUAUUUGCUAAAUUAUCUUAUACAAUAGUUUAGACCGUUAUUUGAUGUGUAUUUUUAUCAAAUUAUUUUAUGCAAAAAUUUGAUUUUAAAUAAUUAUAAAUUUUAAUUACACUUUAGAACUGAUAUUUCUAUUAGAUAAAUUUAUCAUAAUGUUAUUUUAUCUGUUCAUACUUUAGUUAUUUCUUAGAAUUUAUUUUUACCGUUCCUGGUGGUAUUAAGAUAUCACUGCUAUUCUAAUCGUUAGAUAUUUUAGCUCGAAAAACUAUAAAAAAAGUAAUUUUAUAUGAAAAUACUAAUCAUUAAAUAUAAUUUAAUAUAUGGGUUAGUAUGAGUUAUCAAUUAUCAAUAAUCCCUUAUCAGUGUUGAUUAGGCAGCCAAAUUAGGGCAAGUCCGUUCCUUGAAAUUAAAAUGCUAUAAAAAUGUUAAAAAGUGUUAAUAUAUUCAGUUUUUUGCUGUUCUAGUCGGUUUGUCGUCAGUUGGAAUUUAGCUCGCCUGAUCAUCCCUGCAUUUGAAUUUGGUGGAGAGAGAAUGAAUGCCUUCAAGCAGAGAGCUCACCAUAUUACUACAUCCUCACAAAAGCUUAAAACAUCUCAAGCAAAUUCACUCUUUCCUCAUCACUAGUGGUCUCUCACGGGACACCUUCUUCCUUACCAAACUUUUCCAUUCCCUAACUCUCGAUCAUGGCUGCCAUCUCGCCUACGCAUCGCUCCUCUUCCAGCACAUGGAAACAACCAGCAUUUACCUUUGGAAUACCGUUAUCGGAGACUUCUCUGUCAGUGCCCAACCCCUCAUGUCUAUUGUUUUCUAUACGAGAAUGCGCCGAAAUGAUGUCCACCCCGAUAACCGCACAUUUCCUUUGCUGCUCAAGUCGUUUUCACAAUUGAAAAACGAAAAUCCAUUUCCUAUUUACGCUCAUAUUGUCAAGUUCGGACUGGAAUUUAACAAUUUCGUUAGAAAUUCACUUAUCACUGCUUUUGUUAAUUGUGGGAAUACUGUUUUUGCACGCCAAGUGUUUGAUGAGAGUGCACACAAGGACGUUGUUACUUGGACUGCAAUGAUUGAUGGGUAUGCUAGAAAUGGUUUUCCUAUCGAAGGAUUAAAAUGUUUCAAGCAGAUGAUAUCAUCGGGUGUGAAGGUUGAUGAGGUGACUGUUGUAAGUGCUCUUAGUGCAGCCGGGAUGACUGGUAAUAUUUUGUUUGGAAGAUGUGUUCAUGGGUUCUAUAUACAACCAGGAAGAGUGAAAUGGGAUGUUUACGUUGGUUGUGUUCUCGUGGAUAUGUACUCAAAAUGUGGUUAUAGCGAUGACGCCCGUAGAGUUUUUGAUGAAAUGCCAAUUAAAAAUGUUGUUUCUUGGAGUGCGUUGAUAGCAGGUUAUGUCCAAGGUAAUAGGUUCAAAGAUGCGCUACUUCUCUUUCAGGACAUGCUGAUAGCGGAUGUCAGGCCUAACCAAACUACUUUAACCAGUGUUCUCACGGCCUCCGCCCAACUGGGCGCAUUGGACCAAGGUAGGUGGGUGCAUGAAUAUAUAAAUAGGAAUGCAUUAGAUAUGAACUCAAUUACUGUGACAGCCUUAAUAGAUAUGUAUGCAAAGUGCGGCUGUGUUUGUGAGGCUAUGCUGGUUUUCGAGAAUUUUCCUAAGAAGAAUGUCUACUCUUGGACUGCCAUGAUUAAUGGAUUGGCAAUGCAUGGGGAUGCUUUGGGUGCCUUGAAGCUGUUCCUCCAAAUGUUAAGUAGUGGGGUGCAACCAAAUGGAGUCACCUUCAUUAGUGUUCUCAGUGCCUGCGCUCAUGGAUGUCUUGUAAAUGAGGGAUGUAACUUGUUUGAGCUGAUGAAGCACAAAUAUCACAUGGAACCGAACAUUGAUCACUAUGGUUGCAUGAUUGAUAUACUAGGUCGGGCAGGGUACUUGGAGGAAGCAAGAAAGUUGAUUAAAGAGAUGCCUAUGGAGCCUACUCCUGGUGUAUGGGGAACUCUUUUUGGUGCCUGUAUGAUUCACAAGGCCUUUGAUCUAGGGGAAUACAUAGGCAGCCUUUUAAUCAGGCUUCAGCCAAAUCAUAGUGGUCGGUACGCCCUUCUGGCAAACAUGUACUCAGCAAAUGAUAGAUGGGAUGAUGCUGCAUUUGUGAGGAAGAUUAUGAAAGGGAAAGGCGUUGAGAAGAGGCCAGGAUUUAGCUGGAUAGAAGUGAACGGUUCAAUUCAUGAAUUCAUUGCUUUUGAUGGAUCUCAUUCUGAAAUCACUAGUUUAUAUGAGAUGUUAGACAAUAUCUUGCUUCAGUUGAAGCUUGCUGAUUAUCUUCCAGAGACCAUCCUUUUUGAUGGGGAUUAAUACUUAAUUGCCGCAUCUUCUCCAACAUUUUGAGGUGGGCUCUGGACUCUUUAACACAUUGAUCCAAGAUAACUUAUUGAUCUUUACUGUUAAAGCCAAAUAUGCUAGAAUAUAUAUAUAUAUAUAUUUUUUUUUUUUUUCUUGAUGCGAGAGAUGCAGUCUUUGCAAUAAACUAUUGAUAUGUUUGUCCUUGUAGGAUUUAUGUUACCUUUUUUAUGACCCAUCUGAAGGUAUUAGGGUGUAGGGAUUUAUUGUGUUCAUUUUGUUUAUAAAAUAUGGCUAUAUAUCUUUCGACUUCAAUUGGAUUUUAUAUAUGAUCACCCUUUUGUUUCAAUUUGCAACUGCUUCAGAACUUGCAGGAGUUGCACAACAAAAUGAUGUGGCAUAUUUGAUCUAGUAGUUCUCUCAGAUUUUAUUGCCAUCCUAUUUCCAUUCAACAUGCCUAUAUUCGAAAUGGAAUUGUUGAAUAAGUACAUGCACUAAAGAUGAUGCGCCCAUUUGGUUAGGGCUCUGAAAAAAAUGGAAAAGUUAAGUCUUUCACAGUGGAAGACGCGAUGGAUCACUAGAGGAUGCAUGGUUUAUGAAAAGGGAAAUUAUUUGAUGGACUAGUCCAUCAUGAACUCAAAACACAUGAAUGUGGAUUCUAUGUGAUUUUUUUUAUUGUUUUUUGGGUCUAUAUGGAUCAGGUCAAUGAAAUCGAAUGUUGGAAUUUUAGCUUCUUGCACAUUAUAAUGGUGUCGGAGAAUAAUUUGAGCAAGUCCAACUUGCACAGCUUCUAAUAGGGGAAAAACCAAAUGCUAGAGUCAUCUUUGGUGCCGUGAGUUCUCGAGUUAAUUUAUAAAAGAACAAAUAAGUACAGGAAAAGAAAUGAAGAAACUAAAAUACAAAGCAUCUUGGCCAAGUACCAUCUGUCCUACAUCAACAAGAGAUGAGUUCACACAAGCAACAGGUUUGUCUACUAAACCUUUUUUUACCGUUAAUCAGAAACUUGAGAAAUUUGUUAAUUACAUUCACAUAAUUUUGCUGGUAUUUCACCUGAUAAUUUACUAUCAUUGUUGUUCAACCUACACUAUUUGGUGGAAUUGUAAAGAAUAGAAAUAUAUCUCAUUACUAACAAUUAAAAGAUAUUUAUAAACAUGAUUAAGUAAAUAUGAAAUAUAAUAAUCUAAAUUAACAUUGAUGAAAAUUAAACUUAGAACUUUUGAUUGUAAUAUGCGAAUUGGAUAUUAAAUAUUUUACAUGAUUUGCAAUUCCCACUAAUCUUGGGUUGACUCUGAAAUAUUUGCUUGAAAGUUCAUCAAUGAUUAGCUAAUCAUUGACUAUUACAUUGAUAAUUAGUUAUUAUUCUUGAUCUUGGGUUAUUAUUUGAAGGAUAUAUAUAUAGAGAAUUUUUAUUAAUUUUUUUUCAAACUCUUGGUUGGUGUUAGGGCCAACCGGCUUGUUGUUAGCUUCCAUUUGAUAAUUUUUCAAACCCUCCUUUGAUUUCAACAGUGGCAGCUCAAACUCACAAAGAAGUCUCGAUUAAAACAAUGUUUUUUUAAUAUAUAUUUAAAACUUUAAGAAAGAGACUCAAAUUUAAAUUCAUAAACCUCUUAGAUUAUAUAUGACACAAGAAGUAUUAGCUCAGUAAUUCUAAAUUAAAACUCUGUUUAAAAAAGGCCAACUUGGCCUUAUUUUGUGUUUAGCUUUCUCUCAAAAAUGAAUAAUUCAUAAUUGCAUUAUGCAGUAUUUGAAUUGGAGACCUUCUGAUUAAGACAUCGGAGCAUUUAUUAAUAUAAUUAUAUGAGGGAGAAAUCUAACUUUUAUUUUUCAACCUUACCUUAAAGCAAGGGUCAUAAACAUUUUAUAUAUGUAACAGGUUGUUUGCAUUUGAUUAAGAAAUUUCUGAUGCACACUAUGAAUAUUAUAUUCCCAAAUCACACUACUAGAUAUGAUUCUCCUUUCUCUUAUGGAUAAAUAUUUCUGCUUUCUAAAAUAAGGUCUCCAUAUAAUACUAAUGCAACUUUUGGGUUUGGUUGAAUUUAGGCCACUUCUUGCUGAUAAAUCACAAAAUCAGGGCUAAACCAAUUGAAGGAUCAGAUAAUGUUUUCUUUGUUGGAAAUGGCAAAUUCUAUUAGAGUUUUGAAUAUUCUUUUUAUGUUCAUCAACUCUGGAAUGCACUUUGGAUUCAGUUUCAAAACUAACAACUCAAAAAGAAAAAGAAAAAAGAAAAUAAAUUAAAGGCAUGGAUCAAAGUAUGAAACAAUUAAAUUGCCUAGUGAGGUUACAGUUACAGGCAGGUACAUUACAGGGUCAUUUUAAAAAAAAAAAGAAAAAAAUUGGAUCUUAUAUGAUCCUUAUAAGGAUUUGAUAUGCUGAAAACUUCAUUUAUUUUUGGCAGUGUCAUCAGUAGCUUCUGCAAUAUCUUCAGCUAUUAUGUAGCUGAAAAUGCAGCAUCUCAUAGUAAUAAACUUAGUCAGUGAGCAGUAGGUUUUAUUUCCCUUUUAUUCUAAUGGGUUUUCAUUGUUGAUCUCUUCCCAAAAUACUUCUGCAAGCUUUUCUUACUCCUUUCAUGGAGUCUUAAUUGGGAUUCUCUCAGAAUUAAGAUCAAUGCUGAGUGAAAUAAAUGCUAGCAAGUAAUGUAAUGGCACUUUACUUGAUCUUUGUUCAGUUAAGUUUUGCUAUUUUUGUGGGGUAUUGAAUACAAGGUAAUGGCCCAUUUCAAAGACAAGUGUUGUGUCCGUGUUUAGGGGUUGGAAAAGUGAAAACAAAGAAAAAGUAGUUGUCAAGUGAAACAUUUUUGGGAGGGACGGCCAUAAACUCUAACCUCUUGUUUAGAUCAAAGAUUUAAAAAAAAAAAAAUCAAAUUUUAUGUUUGAAAUGUGAGAAUUUCUUUUUUUUUAUCAACUUACCAAAUUUUCAUCCUUAAAUAAAAUAAAAUAAUAAAUAAUUUUAUAAUAAUUUAUUUAAAAUAAAUUUAUUUAAAAUAAAAAAUUAGCAUGAAUGGGUAAUUGAUAAAUCCAAGAAAAGUGAAAAGAAAUGUGCUAAAAACUCCAUUAAAUGGAUGAGAUGUGAGUGGUUGUUUGUUCCUUUUCUUGAUUAUGUUCUGUUCCCUUAGGACGCAAACAUUCAACAUGCAAUGAUGGGGUCUUAGUUUCCCUUUUUUUUUUGUGAUAUACUGAUUGAAUGUUAAUAUUUUAAUUUUCAAAAUUUUUUAAUUAUUAUUUUGAAAUGUUUAAUAAACACGAUUUUUUUAUAUAUAUAUUUUUAUAAAACAUAAUAAUUCAAUUAUAAUUUUAUCAUAAAAAAUUAAGAUUUUCCUGAUUGUCUUCAAGUGUUGGGUAUAUGAAAAAUCUAGACUAAUCUCAUGAUGGGAGAUUUCAAAAUAUGAAUAAAGAUCACAUAGAAAUAGUUAAGAUCACAUUAUUAUGAAACAUAAGCGAUGGUCUAAUGUAAUAAUCAUGGGGGCAUCAAAUAAAAUAAGAGGAAGAAAAAAAAACAAAGGUGAGGUGCAGGAUAGUUAGCAUGAGGGGUAGCACUUGGAAGCCAAAUUCAAAGAGCAUUAUGAAUAGUGUGAUUUCGUGAAGGCUAGGCAAACUCAGUGAAUCCCCAAAUUUACACCUCACAAGCAAUCUCUCUCUCUCUCUCUCUCUUGAGAAAGAGUAGGCGGUGGGUUGCUUUCAUAAAGCCAUUAUUAUUAUCUUAGGAGAGAGAGACCCCACACCUUCAGUCCCUGUGAUCCAUCUAACGGUGUAGAAAUUUCGUGUACGAUUGAUUGAAUUUUAAUUCAUUAUUAAAAUUAAAUUGUACUUAUUAAUUCAUAAAUUGAAUUCACAUUUCAUUCAAUUUUAUAAAAUUCGAAGUUUCAUCAUCGGAUUUAAUUGAUUUAGUUAAUAAAAUUAUAAUUUUAUACACAGAAGAACAACGUACUGCUAAAUAUCCUACCAACUAUCAAAGUUAAAGAGUAAAGCCCUUUUUGUUUGAAAUGGAAGACAAAGAGUUUUUUUUUUAUUUAUUAUAAAAUAAAAAUUACUAAAUAUUUAAAUUAAUAUCAAGUAAAUUGAAACUAUAUUUAAAAGGAUUAUUUUCAUUAAAUUAAGUUUGAAAAAUAAAAGCUUUAAAUACGUAUGAGACCUUAAUCUCCGGAUUUAAGGAUUAUUUAUAAUGGCAUUUAAUUUCUUUUUUCCUAUUUGAGACCACAAUAUAGUGCACCUCUUUGGACUUUGACUAUCUUUAAUUAAUUUUUCUGACCUACUAGAUUUCAAUUUCGUACCUGCAAUUCCAUUCAAUUGCUUAUCCAUUUCUUCUGCCAAUAUAUCGCAAUUGAACUCUUUUUUUUUUCAAAAAAAAUCGUCUAGCUAAUUAAUAAAAUAUAUAAACAAGAAAGAAAUAUCACAUUUUACAUAGAGAGAUAAAUAUUAGCGGACUAUUGAUGUAAUUGCAGCUGAUGGCUUAGGAUGUCGAGUCAAAGGCCAAUGGAGGGUCAAAAUCAUCUCCUCUUUACUUUCAAAUGUGUUUAUCUGGCACGUGUUAGAGCAUAUUCGUAGUUUCUACUGCUAUUUAUGUACACGGUCAAAUUCAGAAAAUAAGGCAGAAAAAAAAUGAAAUGAAAAUGAUUUUUUUUUUUAUCGAAGAAAAUGAAAAUUUUGAUCCCAAGGCCGUGGGAGCCAUUGAAUGAAAUCACGAGACCAAGUUGAGCGCGAGGAAGGGACGGUAAAUGGGGCGUUUUCAGUAUUCCAAAAAAAAAAAAAUAGAGAAAAUAAAAAUACGAGUGCAAGUACUGUUUACCAAAAACGUAAAAAGAGGAAGGGAAUAUCACGCCCUUCUAAUGAAAGUUUUUGCCUCCUCCUCACGGCGUUCGAGACGCCACGAGCCACUGCAGUCGACCACAACACCACCUCCUCUUCCUCCACUUUUUUACCGAGGAAAAUAAAAUGAGAAAUUCAAUUGUAUAAAAUUCUAAAAAGUAAUGGGCCUCAAAAGAUGAGAAAUUAAGAAAGGAAAUCCUCGUCCUCCUUUGUUUCCCUCUGGAGAAACAUGGCCUCAAAAAUAUUAUUAUUUUUUAAAAAAAAAAUAAUAUUAUUUUUUUAAAAAAAAUAAAUAAAUCUACACCACUGCAUUUGGAAACGAGGACUUUCUGGGGAGUUCUAUAAUCUUCCAUUGUUCCAUAUUUCAGAAAAUAUAAUUCAUUUCCAUUUUGUUUUUCUAUUUAUAAAAAAGUUUUUAUUACAUUGAUGAUGAUAGAUUCUCUACUAGUGCUACUGCCUCUGGCUCUGGCUAUUACAACACCCUCGCAAGCUCAGGAUAUUUUUUUAAUAAAAAAAAAAGGAAAGACAGAGCUCGUACCGAUAAACACUAUCCGAUGAUAUAUUUCACUUUUAAUAUAUAUAUUUUUUUAUACCUGGAAAAUUUAAGGGAAAAAAAAAAAAACUCAAAAUUUUUUAUGGUUUCUCUUUGAGCAGAGAAGCUAAUCCUGUCACCAUCCUCGCUCCUCUAUCUACACUCUUCGGUUUGACGGCCGGCGGCUGCCAGGUCGCCGGGUCUAUGUUAACUUUAUCAUCGUCGCCGGAAAGUUUCGCCGGCGAUGAUGAAUCAGUGCCCACCUGCGCUGUUUUUUCGCCAAAAAUCAGCUCGAGUUCUCCACAUUCGUCACUACUCUCCGUAGCAACACAUUCGUCUUCAUCGAUUUUGGAUUUUGUGUUUGAGAUGAUUUCGUUUUGCCUGGUGAAAGAAGAAAGCCAUUUAGCUCGCAUGUACUCGGCUCUUCUCCACGGAGGAAAGUGCAUGCCUUUCUUCUUCAAGCUCUGCUUUGCUGCCUCCGAUACGAUUGAAACGAUCUGGCCCAGGCGAUCCGAUUUUCCGACGAAGAUGUACGGUAGUGAUUGCAGGAUUGCCCUGUAGGUCCCAGUUGAUCGAGCUAUUUCGAACUCCGAUCUGAAAUCAAUAUCGAUCAAAAGCCUCUCUCCUUCUAUAUUCACAUCGAUAUACUCAUAUUCACCUGAUUAACAGGUUAAGCAAACAACAAUUUCAGAAAUUUUCCCUUCCAAUUUUCAAAAUUUUGACUCCAAAUGAAGAGAAAGAGUAAAAACUGAAAGGUACCUGCAGGAUGAGAGGGGGAUUUAUCCCAUUUUGAUUUGCAAAUGGAGGAAUCGUAGCCGAGAGAUAUUAAUCCAUCGGCUACGAUCUUUCUCAAAUCGUCCUUUUGCUUGUGAUUCUUGUUCUUAUCGACGAUCAUCGCCGUAUCAGCUAAGAGGUUUCUCUCGUGAACACUAGCACAGGGAAUCAAACUCUGUUUUUAACACCGCAGACAUAAACAUUUAUUUAGCCAUUUGACCUUCAAGGAGUCGUACAGCUUCAAAGUUGAAAGGGCAGAGUUCUCUUAAAUUGAAAAUUGGAAGAGGUUAUUCGAAUUUUACCUUAAGGAUAUCAGAGGCAUCGACUGAUGACCCAUUGAUGAUCGAUUCCCCAAAAUUACCACCACCGAAUACAUCAAAUUCAUCAUCGGAGCUAUCGUUAAUAUUCCCGUUAAAGCAAUUGCAUCGGUGACGGCCGCGAAACGGCUUCUCGUUGCUUUCCUCAAUGUAAUUCUGGACCAUUUUUGCCAAACAUACUGAGCUCGGCUCAAACUCCGUCCCUGCACCUACUCCAUCCUUUGUCCCAUUCUGUGCUUCACCGACGCUUGGCUUUUCCACCGAGGAAAUUCGCAGCACACUGGGGAACUGCCGGUCAAACAGCCUCUUCAGACGCGAUUUCAACACCGGCUUUAGCGGUUCGGCCCGCGCCGGAACCAUCGUCUGACAGUCAAUAUCUAUGGGUUGAAUCUUCAUAGGAAAAGGCUCAACAGCUAUGAAGAUUAUGAAGAUGAUGGGAGAGAAGACCGAAGCUAAAGGUUGAAGGUUAGAAGUUAAAUUGGAUUGAAUGCUCUGUUUUAAGCUCUGCGUGUCAGUUCUGCUCCAUAUUCAGAGCUCUCCAAAUACUUAGAUUGCACAGACUCACAGAUUUGCAAUGACUAAUCAAUGACUUCUGGUCCUGAUUCUUGCAGUAAAUUUUCAAAACUCAUGAACCAGACAAAUUAAAAAAAUCAAUGCCACAGGCUAACAAUCAAAUUCAUACACAUUUUACUCCUUCACUAAGCUACAACAAUAACGCCUUACCCAAGGAAGAAAAAGAGAAAAACCUCAAAAUCGGAAUCCUCAACAGGAUCACCACACCCAAUCAAAAAGCCUCUCAAAAUUUAAUAUAAUCCCAGACACAAAUUUCUCCGCAAGCAAAAUCCAGUACUUUCCCUCCGUGAUUAGAAAAAUCGAAUAACUUAGAAGAUAUGCAAGAGAAAAUUAUGCCUUUCAGCUUAGGCUUUUUUCAAAGAAGACGUGGUGGGGGUGAUCGGAAGCACGGGCAUUGCGUAUAGAAGCAGAAAAAGUAGUCCCAAGGAUACUCAUAUCUCCGGCGGGAUUUUAAUCGCCGGCGCGGAGAAGUGGAGAAGAAAUUGAUGAAGUAGGAAGAACAACAACAAAAAGACUUCGUGGUGGGGUUGUGGAGCAAGGGGGGGUUAGGUGUUUUUUCGGUAGAGAGUGGACAGUGGAGAGCGCUGAAGAUGAAAGUGGAUUAGCUCAGGGCUUUUAUAGGUGAAACGGCGUUGGCCAAGCUGACUAGGCAUCAAGUUACCACGUGGAAGCUGACAUGGCAAAUUUUAUCCUCUGUUUGCAGUUUGCUAACAUGGCAUGCGUUAGCAAGCGAUAAAUUAGUUUGAUUGUGGAGCUUUGUGCGUAUAUGUCACGUGCCGGCACUAGAAUUCGUGAGCAUUGUUGAUUGACUCCUUGUUGAAAUUACGAAGUUCACCUCCCACUACGGUGCUGUGGACCUGUGGUUGCGGAGAUACGUGGAACAGUAGUGGAUGAUUAGUGGGGGCAAAUUUGAAAUUUGAACAGAAACAGAGGGGAGAAAGGGGCGGUGCUGUAAAGUGCAAGUGCAUGGUGUUUUGUUUUGUAAAGAGGUGGGCGCCUAACAUUGUGUGACACGUAGCGGAUGGUACUGUAUCAGUUACUUUCUUUUCCUUUUGUUUUUUAAAGGAAAUUUAAAAUUUUAAGAUCAGGUUAUUUUGGACCGUUCGAUUAUUAGAGGAAAAAGAUCGGACAUGUAGAUCUCACUAAAGUUGUCGGUUUAAUAUAGGGAGAAAUUAUUAGUGUAUCUGAAUUAUUGGUUCUUUUCUUUUCUCGAAUGAAAAUUCACGUUUUGUAAUUUAUUGAAAAUUUUAGGUAAAACUAUAAUUACUGACUGUUAUUAAAAUUUAUACAUUAAUUUUAUAAUUAUAAACAACUUAUAAUUUAAUCUAUUCCACAAAAAUUAUAGUUAAAUUGAUAUACUAUAUUCUUUUGCAUUAACUAUUUAAAUUAAAAUGAUUAAAAUAUAUAAAAUUAUAAUGAGUAAGUAAUAAAUGGAAAUGAAUUAAUUUAUUAUAUUUUAAAUCAUAAAAAAAAUUCAAUAGUUGCUUUCUAAAAGUAAAUGGACCAAUGGAAGUAGAUUACACGAAUCCAGAGACUUAAUUAUAUUUGAUUCAAAAUUUUUUAAUGCAAAUCUAAAAGUAUUAUUCUAUGGCAUAAUUUUAUUUACUGUUAGUCAAUUUUUUUUAAUUUAUCAUUUAUUUAUUUUUUUGUUAUUAAAAAAAAAUCCUUUUAACUUUAGGUUAGUUUUAUAAAAAUUCCCUUAAUAAGUUCUCAUGUUAGAAAAUUACCCUUUUGCCUAUAUAUCUCAAAAAGAUUAAAACUAUUAUUUGAAAAAAAUCAUUUAAUAUUAUUUAAAAGCAGUAAAUUAAAAAAAAAAAAUCCUAAAUGCAUGUAUGUCUCAAGUUCAAUUCACCUUCCCCUCGUCCUUUUUCUCUAGCGCUGAGCAUCGUCGGCGACGGGGAACAUCCAAUAACAACGAAUGGCGGUGGGUGGCUAUCGAUGGGAAAUGCGAGAAGAGGAGCUCGCAAAACAUGGUUUUUUUGGCACCAUUUUCGACUGUUUUUGGCGAUGGAUUAACACAAUAUUGACAAUAUAUGUCCCAAUCUACCUCGCAAUGAAUGGGGGAACACAAGGCGGCAAAUCAGAGAAGUGCAUCUCUGGCUCUGCAACUUGAUGGUCUCAAUCCGCACAAACAGCAACAUCUAGCUAAGGCCCCCAUCUUUAACGAGCUCCUUCGAUAGUUAGAGUCGCGACUCCAUCAAUGAUACUCACAGCUAGUGAAAGAGUUCCAACAAUGCAUCAGACUUCAGUGACCUUGAGACAAAGAAAGUGAAAGGAAAUGAGGCAAAAUAGUAAUUUUUUUGAAUCAGAGGGACAAUAUGAUACUUUCAUUAUGUUCUAGUUGAAUUUUUUAUUAGGAAAUUAAAUGUAAUAAGUUUAAUAAUAAAAUAAAAAUUAUUUUCUCGUUAUUUUUUAAGAACAUGUCAUUUUUUGCAUUGUUUUUUUUAAAAUAUAUAUAUAUAUAUAUGAGGAUAGACGCUUACUAUGCUUACAAUUCAUUUGAUAAAUUAUAUUUUAAUUUUUAAAUUAUAUUAUAAUUAAUUAUUAAUUUUUAUAUUUUUAAAAUUAAAUACUUAAAUUUUUAUAUUUUUAUUUCGUUCAAAUAUAUUAUUUGUCCAUUUAAAAUUUUCUUUUAUGUUACCGUUAUUACACCCUACAAUACAUAUAAAAGAAUAUUUUACAUUUAAAAAUCUAAAUACUUUUUCUUUAUUCUAAUUCUCUCCAUCGAACGUGAAUGGCAAAUUACUAUAUGUCUACUUCAAGCAGUCAGAACCUGAAUUUUAGAUAUUUAUUUUUUAUCAUGAAAUAUAAGAGAAAUUAAAAAUAGUGAAAAUUUUUAAAAUUACAUAUUUUAAAUUAAGUGAUUUAUUAGUUUUUAAUAUAUAAAAAUUAAAAGAUUUAAGUGUUUAUAAUUAUUUAAAUUCUAUACUAAAAAAGUUUAUGAAAUCUCAGUAAAUUAAAAAAUUUUAAAUUAUUUUGUAUUUUUAUAAAAGAAAUGAGUUAAUAUUAUAUAUUUUAUUUUAUUUUAUAUUAAAAAGUUUUAAAAUAGUGAAAGUUUUCGUAAAACCGUAGAAUUUGAAUUUAAGAGUGGAUAUAUUUUAAUAAAUAAAAAUUAAAAAAAUUGAAGUAUUUAUAAUUAUUUGAAUUUUAUAUUAAAAAUUUAAGAAAUGAAAGUAAAAUAGAAAAUUUAAAAUUAUUUUAAUUUGUGUAUAAAAAAAAAGAAUUUAGAUUUUUAUUAAAUUUUUUUUUUUAUAUAUGUUGUAUGGUAUAAUAAGAGUAUUGUAAGAAAAAAAAUAAUUUUUAUAAAUUUGACCAGCUAUUUAUUUUUAAAUUAAUAAAUAAAUAUAUGAACGGAAUAAAAAUAGAGAAAUAUAAGUAUUUAAUUUUAAAAAUAUAUAAAUUGAUUCGUUAAUUAUAAUAUAAUGCAGGGACUAAAGUAUAAUUUAUUUUUUUAAUAUUAAUUUAGUUUUUAAUAAAAUAAUAUGAGUAGAUGGUAUAUUAAAAGUUUAUAAAUAAACUUGUUUUCAUUUAAUUAAUUAAUUUUUUAAAGUGUGUGAGAAUUAAAAAAAAAUGAUAUAUUAAUAGAAGUAAUAUGUUGAUAUUUUUCUUUUAAUGCAAAAAAAGAAAAAUAAAAUUUGUCUUUCAGCAUAACCAAAUUUAGGUCUCUAUUAUCUAAUACUAAAUUUAGAAAUUCUUAUAUAAACUUAUCCAUCAAUAAUAUGAGUCUUAUCUUUUUUUUAUGAAAAUGCAAAUUUUUUCACAUUAAACCUUUCUCCUNNNNNNNNNNNNNNNNNNNNNNNNNNNNNNNNNNNNNNNNNNNNNNNNNNNNNNNNNNNNNNNNNNNNNNNNNNNNNNNNNNNNNNNNNNNNNNNNNNNNNNNNNNNNAGUUAUGAAUUAUAAUCUUGAAUUAAAAAAAAAAAAAACCAAUCAACUUAUUCCAACAAUAAAUUUGACCCUUACAAGAUUUAAUAAAGGGUAGCUAUCAAAAGGAGUUUACUCUUACUCACAAGAUAAUCUAGAGAAAUAUUUCAUUUUCCAGUCACAUUAUUUUUCUAUUGCUUGAUAUAAUCUAACAUUCAAUUAUUGGGUUAGCAACUAUGCAGAAUCAAUUUUAAUAAAAUUAAAUAUUAUUUAUAAUAUAAAAACAAAAAUGCUAAAUUAUGUAUGUAACUGGUGAACACAGCAAGAAACUAUUAUUAAUAUAUAUAUAUAUAUUUUCUUGGUGGGGUUAAGUGAUAUUAUUUAGUAGGCCCCACACUUGCAUUAUGAAACUGACCCUCUUUGUUAUUUUUAUUAUUAUGAAAUAUUUUACUUGACAGUACACAUAUAGGACAAAACACACAACUAGAAGAAUCACUGUUCAUCAUUAAUCCUCAAUAAAUUAAAUUUGUUGGUGCAUAUAUAAUCAUUAAGCAUCAAUUAUGCUGUUUUUUUCCCCAAAAUUAUUACUAAUUUUCACCGUUUAUAAAAAUUAAAAAAUAUAUAUAUAUUUUAAAAAUAUGAAAGUCUUUUACACUUUUCACCUUAUGAAUUAUAAAAUUUUUAGUCGCAAUAUAAAAUUUUGCAGUAUCAAUCUAAAUUGGGCACCUAAAAUGGCUUUAUUUGCUUUGGAUUGUAAUGACAAAUUUGUGUAGAGAAGAAUUCAUCACUUGACUUGACCCUUGAAAUUGAUUUGAUUCAGAGUUUUAUACAAUUGGUUUUAAUAAUUUUAUUUUUUUUUUAUUUUUAAGAAAAAUGGAACUGAAGGUGUUUUUUUGUUGGCAAGUAAUCAGGAGAGGGAUCAGUUGAGACUUGGUCAAUAAGUAACACCAUCAAAAAAUUCCCAGUUGAGACAGAUUAUUUAAUUAAAUAUAAUUUAAUAUCAUAUGAAACAAUUUUUUUUUUAUAGAAAAAUUUGGUUCACAAACUUGGUCAAUCUUCAUUAAAUAUUAAUGGGAUUAACCAAUUUUAUCCUUAAAAUUAAUAAUGAUUUUAAAUUAAAGAGAAAUACUAAAAAGUAAAAGUAAUUUAUAAGUUAAUCUUUGUCAUAAUUCAUCUUUUUGACCAAAAAUACUCCAUCAAUGAUAUAUGUACAAUAAAAGAAAGUGAAUUUCAAAUAAUUACAUUUAAUCCCAAAACAACCUUCAACUUAAUUUUAUUUAUACCCUAAAUUAGGUUAUUAAUUAAUUAAUUAAAAAAAUAAAUAUUUAGUUUUAUAUUAUAGAAAAUUCACAAAUUAAUUUUCUGAUUUUAAAAAAAUAUAUUAAAUUAUCAUUCACAUUUUAAAAAGCUAUUAAUUAAUUAAUUAUUAAUUUUAGCAAAAUUACUAUUUAGAUUCUAUGGAAAAUUUAUUAAUUAAUUAUUUAAUUUUAAAAAAUAUAUUAAAAUAUUUAUAACAGUUUAAAAAGUAUACAACUUAGUGACUUCGUUAAUUUUAUCAUUAAAUAUUUUAUUAUUUAAUUUUUAUAAUUUUAAAAAAUUUAUUAAUUAAUUUUUCCUUAUUAGAAAUAUUUUAAAUUUUUUUAUAAUAUUUAACGGUUAAAACUAACACAGAAAUUAACUAGUAUACUUUUCAGAACAUCAAAAUUAUAUCAAAACUGAAAAACAACACUAAUAAAUUUUUUUUAUAUUAUAGAUUUUAAAUAGUAAUUUUUUCUAUUAAAUAUUAUAAAAAUAUUAAAAUACUAUCGAUACUGAAUAACUCAUUAAUAAAUUUUUAAAAAUCAACUAAUAAAUUUUUUAAAACUAUAUAAAUUAAAUAAUAAAAUAUUUAAUGGUUAAAACUAAUAAAAUAAUUAAAUGAUAAAUUUUUAAAAAUAUAAAAAAUAUUUUAAUAUAUUUUUUAAAAUUAGAAGUUAAAAUUGUGAAUUUUGUUAUAAUAUAAAAAUUGAAUAAUAAAAAUUUUAAUUAAUUAAAAAUAAUUUAACCAAUCUUUCUUAUUUUUAAAAUAUAAGGAAUAAAGAGUUUUGAAAUUUAAAUUAUUCAUUCAUUUAUUUUUAUUAUAAAAAUACUUUAUUGUUUACUGUACAACUCAUCAAUUAUAAUUUGAUUUUUGUUGAACAAAUAAAAGAUUAGUCAACAGUUCAAAGCAAUUAGACCGUUGGGGUCUAAAGGUAUUAUAAUGGGAGAAAUUAAAGAAAAACUUUAACUUUAUAUAGAUAUGGAGAGAGAUAGAAAGUUAAACUUUUUACUGAGGUGGUAAAAAAAAGGAGUUAAUCAAGAUUAAUAGUGAAGAUGACUCUUCAUUUGCAAGCAUGUCUGGUCGUUGUCCAAUACAAUUAUAGAUGCAGACACAAAUGUGGUCACUUUCUCCUGUGCCUCUAAACCCCACACCUCACCAUAUUAUUUGCCCGUGGGGCCUUCAAUUUUCUGGAUUAUUAUUACUUUUUUAUUGUUAGAAAUACAUUAAAUUUCCUUUUUAAAUAUUUAAUAUUCUAUAUAUUUCUAAAUAAAACUAUAACAAUGAUGAUAAAUAAGCCUUAGCCUUUCAUUGUAUGAGUGGUAAUAAAUUCAUAUUGUAUUAAUGCUCUAGCUAUUUUCUUUUAUUGCAUUUGAAAUUUACAAAUCUGAUUAAUUUGAAUUUGCGUUUAACAUGCUUAUCAAUAAAGUAAAAUAUUUUUUAAAUUUCAUAUUUAAAUUUUAAAUUUUAAAUUAUUAAUUAAUAAAAAAAAUCAUAUAAUAUAAUAAUCAUACUAUGUAUUGUAACCAAUGAGAUUACAUGACAAUAAUCUUAAUAGAUUAUGAUACUCGGCCACACUUAUAAUAAAUAAGACUCAGUCUGCAGAAUGAUCAAUACUCGAAACAAUAAAAAGUAUGUCUUUUGUGUUUGAAUGAGUCUCCCAUGAUAUAAGAUAUUAUACCGUAAAUUUUAUUAUGUUAUACUGUAAAUUUUAUUAUGUUUAUAAUAAUGAGAUAUCUUAUCCACUAAUUUGUAGAAAAUCUCUAACUAAUCUAUCUCUUUAGAGUAGAAAAUCUCUAACUAAUCUAUCUUUUUAUAAUAUAAAAGUAAAAUAUAUACAAAAUUUAAGGUAUACAUUUUGUCAUACUCUUUUAAAAUUUAAACAAUUUAUUCACACUUGAUUUAUAAUUUACUAAUUUGAGUGUCGGAAUAACUGUUUUAAAUACCAACUAUCUCAAUUGCUCUUUUUUAUAAAAUAACAGGUUAUUAUUAGGCACAUCAAAAAUUAAUAUCAUCCUAUUUUAUCUCUUGAAAAUUUUAAUUAGUUGAUUUAAAUUAACAUGUAGGGUAACUUUUUUUAAUAUCCCAGUUGAAAAUAACAUUAAAAAAACUCAUCCAUCAAGGAGUAUCAAAAUGAAUUGAAACAAAUUAAAAGCUAUAUAGAGAAAAUGAUUUAGGCUUGUCUAGGCAAAAUGGGUUUCACAAAUUAAAGUGAAGGUUCUUUUUCCACUCUUAGGUGCAUUGGUUGGAAAUCUCAACAACAAAAUCCCAAUAUUCUUGGGCAAGCAAAGAGCUCACAAAGGUUUAAAAUUAAUAGCAAUGCCAGUAUCUACUUUUUUUUACUAGCAUUAGGUGCCUGGGUCCACUUAAUUAUAAAUAAAAAUAAAAAUAAAAAUAAAAUUCAUACUCGAAUAAAUUCAAACCCUCUAUAAUCGUAUCAUAUAUUUAUACAUUGUCGAGUAUCAUUUGCAUCUCUAAAUUCUUUUGAUUAAUAUAUGAAAUGAUUAAAAGGCAAAGAUUAAUUAAAAAUUAGUAUGAACAAAAUCAUGUCAUCUGGAUUAAUUAGAGAUGUCAGAUUUGUAAAUAAUUCAUUGGGUUAUUUUCCUUUUUUUUUUUUUUUUGGUGUUACAACUUUAAUGUAGCAAUGCCAUUGAUUGCACUUUAGUGAACUUCUUUUGAUGAUGUCUAUUGAAAUUAUUGAGUAUCUUUAAAUAAAAAUAAAUAAAUAAAUAAAUGUAACUCAUGAUUAUUAUUUUAUCUUUUUAAGAACUUUUUUUUUUGGGAACAUGGUUUUGUUAUUAGCUUUUGGAGACUCAAAUGCUUUAAAAUUACCAUGUAUUACUUUUGAUGAGUUGAGGAAAAGUUUCUGACUUUAAGAAUUUUUUUGUGUUGAGUGAAAGACUUUAAGGAUUGUAUUAGGAGGUCCUACCUUCAUAAUUCUUCUUGGAAUAUGAGCAUUUUAGUACCUUCAACCUCUAAUCUUAUCCUUUACCUCCUACUUUUAAGAAUUUUAAUUAAUUAUAUUUACUGUUAUAAAAAUUAUAUUAAAAAAAUUUAUCGAUUAAAUUAUAAAAAAGAGGCCGGUAAAAUAAAUUAAUGGUCAUUUAUCAACCAUUUCAUAACUAAUUUUUACUUUUUCUCAUAAUAAUAAAUGCAAGAUAAUGUUCUGAUAUUAGAAAAAAAAUAGAAUUUAUAAGAGUAUGAGUAAGUUUAGUCAGGGAGGAUCACGUAUCCCUCUACUCUAUUCUAUUUUUCUUUAUUCUCAAAUGACGCAUAACCGCCAUCCUAUUACAGAGUCACUUGUCCUGUCACAGUCUCGUACAUGCAGAUGUAUUUUUUUACUCAUUCUUGUCAGGCGGCCAUUUAAUUUCUUUUCGGCGUGCAUGCUAAUAGAGUUGUGGUGUAGUCAGGCCUGCUCUCCUACCUCCCGUUAUAUUUCAUAAGCCAGACUCUUCUCUAAUGAAUUUAGGCUUUGGAUCAGUCCGACCUGCUUUGAUUACGGAUUGAACGACACGCUAAUAGAAUGAUUUGCUUAGAGAGCUUGCUUAGAGGGCUCUACUGGACUUUGAAUCUGUUUUUUUCUCCAAGAUCCAGCCUCAGCCUGAAUGCCAGAAGUCCAGCGAUCAUCAUAACAUUAUACUUAUUAAAAUUGAAUAUGAUUAUUUAUUUAUAUUCUGAUAUAUAACUCAAAAACCAAUUGAACUAAAAGCACAUAAAUGAAUUAAACAUGCCAAUCUAGUUUUGUAGUUCUUUUGAGAAAUUUUAGCUAAAUGGUGAUGUAUUCUAUAGCUUUAUCUAAAGAGGGGAGGGGGGUGAAUUUGUUAAUCAAUGCAAAAGCAAAAUGAUAUUUAAGUAAAACUAGAGAAGUAAAGUAGAAUUGAUUUUUUUUUUAAAAAAAAAAUUCCUUGCAUAAAUAUUACACGGAAGGAAAAAAAGAAAAGAGAAAUACAAGCUUGCUUUGUUAAGGCAUAAAGGAAUUUACGAAAAAAGAGGGAGAGGCAAGAGUGGGGCAUUGUAAGAGUAAAGUUGAUAAAUGUCAUUUUCCAUCCAAGUCCAUUGAAUUUCAUUACAAAUGAAGAAGAAGAAGAAGAUGAUGAGGUGGUGAUGGAGUGGUCCUUCUUCAAAAAUCCUUUAAAUUGGGUAUAGAUGGGGAGAGAGGGGUCUAUCAACUCUCAUCCAUGUGCACUGCAGUCCCCAUAAUCACUCUAUUUUCCAUAGAUUUUGCCCCCACUAUCAAAGCUGCUACUUCCUAUUUCUUCCUUUUGGAAAACCUAGUAUCUCAUCCUGGUGCCCGUUUUGGAUGCAUCACACUCACUUCUGUGUGAAAAAUUUAUUGGUUAGUUUUUUUAAAAAAUAUAUUAAAAUAUUUUUUAAAUUUAAAAAAUUAUUAAAUAGUUAUUCUAUUAAUUUUAAUUGUUAAAUAUUUUACUGUAAUUCUCUUAAAUUAAAAAUAUUAAAUAAAAUAAAAAGUAUCAACAGCAUAACCACUGGAACCAAAUAAUAGAAAGAAAACGUCAUUGCCUUAGCUUCUUCCAAUUAAUUUUGUUGGCCUACCAAACCCUUAAUUUUCACAAAUUAAAACCUAGUCAAAAUCACCUUAACAAUCUUACCUUAAUUUCAAAUUUUGUGCCCUAUCAUCUCAUGUCAUAUUCCAAGGAUUGGGACCCACUCUAUUAUAUCCAACUACUAUAUUUUUUUAUUCAUCUCUUCAUCAUAUGCUUUUGUUUAUUUUCCUCAUACAUUUAUAUAUAUGAAAUUAAUUAUUUUGAUUAUGAAAUUAAUUAAUACUCAAUUACUACAAUUUUUAUUUCAAUUGAGACAUAAUCCCAAUAAUCAAUAUUUAUUUAUUUAUUUAUUUAUUCUUGAAUAUAACAAAUCACAUGGUUGGAGAGUGAUGAUUGAUGAGGACAAUCAAAUGAAGAGGUUCACAUGUUUUGUUCUAAAAAAAAAGCCAAUUGAUUCAUGACUAAUAAUGUGCAAAAUCCAAAUUAAAGGCCUUAGAUUCAUCGCCAAUGGUAAGGAGCAGCUACAUUGUGCAACUUCUUUUUUUUUUUUUUUUCUUGUUUAAUAAAGAUAACACCUAUCUGGUUGUAUCAAUCACAGCAAAGUUGGUGUCUCAACAAUUUCCAUUAUUUUUUUAAAAAUUUUUUUCCUUAAACAAAUAAAUAAUAUUUUUUUUAUAUAUUAAUGGGAGAUGAUGAGUGAUGGGGACAUAAAGGUGUAUGAUAAGGAAGCUAAAUGUGAAAUGAUGGGCAUGUCCUUGUCCCUUGAACACCAAAAACCCACUUGUGUUUGUGAGCAUUGUGGUUGUGGUUGGAUUCAUAUUUUGGUUUUCAUUAUUUUUAAUGGGAAAAAUCCAAACUAGGCAUCAAUCUUAUAUUGUUCUCUCCAUUUGUUUCUUAUCAAUGAGGUUUAGGUAAUUGUUUAAAAAAUAAAUAAAUAAAUAUUACAAAGUCCCAGAAUUUUUUCUAAAAAAUAUCAAUUUAAUUGCAUAGCUGAACUGUUGGAUGAAUAAUUCAUGAUACCCUAUUUAAUGGGUGGGUUGAAGGAGUCUAAAUUGAUAAGAUAUAUGUUGGGCCACCUGUUGGGGCCUAUGGGGUUAGACCCCUAUGACCUAUCCACAAUAUCAUGACCUCACAUAUCUUUCCCCUCAAAAUUUGUGGCUUCAAGCGAGUAAUACAUAUGAACUAAUAAUAAUCUGAAAUAUUUGUAUUUUAAUAUUAAUACGAAAAAAUUAUUAAUUAUAUACUAUGUUUUUAAAAUUUAUUAAUAAAAUUCAUAUGAAAUAGUGCAUCAGCUUUAACCUGAAUUUUAAACUUUUUAACAUUUUAUUUUUAUUAAUUCUCACACCAAACCGAAUUUAAAUAUUUUACAAUGUGAAACUUGAAUAUUUUUUAAAAAAAAAAACUGACAGAUUUUUUUUUACUGACAGAUAUUUAUAUACAUAGAAAUGGUAAUAGAUAUUUCUUUUACAUAAAAGGGACAGAAUAGCCGAAUUAAUAACAAAAAAUUUUAUAAUUGGUUUUGUUGUAAGAAGUGUCAAUUUUAUUUUUUUGAUUGUUUAAUAUAAACAAAUAAAAUGGAAAAUUAGGCCAAAAUUUUUCUAUUAAAAAAAAAUCCCCACCAACACCAAAUGAAGAAUAUGACUAAAGAUGGGAAAUGAAUGUCAAGUAAAAUCAGUGGGCACCAAAUAAAAUGCUGAAUGGUUACACUGCAUUGGUAUUAUUCUUACAGGUGAAAGGAGGCGUUGCCCAGUCUUUGUUGUCAUGUAUAGGCCCUUAUUAACCUUUUCUAAUUUGGAUUCACAGCGCAGCAUCAAAACUGGGUCCCAUUGAAUUAUGUAUUGUCAUGUAUGAUGAUUUGAAUCCACAAUUGCCUUGGAAAAAAAAAAUUCCACAAUUAGGUUAUUUUAACAUUGUUUUUUGAAAUGCUUUUGUAAUAUAUAUUAAUUAAAAUGUUUAAAAAUAUUAAUUUAUACUCAUUGAAAUUAAAUUGCAUUUCCAAACAGUUUUCGCAACUCUGGACAAAACUCAUAAAGCUGAUGCGUCUUUGUUGUUACAGAGAUAGAGCAGUCAAUUGUUUUAGGUUUUAGUUGAAACUUCACAAUCGUAAAUACGUGAUUGAUUCUUGCUUCUUUUUUUUUUCUGAUAAAUAUGUACUGCUGAGAAGGAUUAAAGUUUUCAACUUUCAUGUUGCAAUCAGUGGAAAUCUGAAUUAAUUUUGCUCUACUUAUUGUUUUUUAAUACUUUCAUGAAGUAAGAUCCGAUACAAUUCAAACCCAAAUUUUCUUAUUUUCGUGAAAUUAAAUUAAUCAAGAUAUAGAUCUCAAAUCCUGUUAUUAGAUUCAGUAGAAGUAGCAAGCUGCGACAAUUUCUGAAAAGCCUUUAACCCUUCACACAUAAUUUUUCAGUGGCGAGAAACCAGCCUUGAGAGGAGAAGGGCUCUCCUUGAUUGUGAAAUAAUGAGUAAUUAAUUCCUUGGUAAUCACAGUAUUGGAUAUUAGUGAUAAGCAUUUGAAUAGAUGAAUAUAGACAAGAGACAUGGAAUAACAUAAUAGCUUAAAGAAUCUGCCAACAGUGUGUGUAGAUUAUGCUUGGUCUAAGCAUUUGUGGACUGGAAACACAGCCUAGUUGCUAAACAACAAAAUGCUACAUGGGUACAUUGUUUCUAAUUACAGCUCUAUCUUCAUUGGUACAUUUUGAAAUAUAUAACUCUCACUCUAAACAAAAUAAAGUCGCUGGUUAAAAUUGUGAUCACCAGCCAAAAAAUCAGUUGCUCAAGUGGACACCAAUCCAAGUAUCAAGAGUAUUCCAGCAGUAACCAAAUUGUAGAACCGGUAGCCAAGGACAUAGCAAAUAAUAGAUAACAUAGUCUAACAGGCGAUAGCAAUUUAAAAUAAAAUCUUAAGGAACAUUCAUGACUUGGAUGGACUGUAGCAUGUCUGAAACAGCUAUAACAAGGUCGCCUGAUUUGAUCAUUCCUCUAGCCUUGAGCAAGGAGAAGGUUUUAUUAAGGUUGCUUUCCAUGUCAUCUGAAAAGCUCAGGCGGAAAGGUAUCAGGCCCCACUGUAGGUUCAGGCGUCUCCUUACAGACGCUGUGGUUGUGAAAGCAAAGAUUGGACAGUCUGGCCGGCAUCGAGACAAGAGAGAUGCCAUGUGACCAUUCUUUGUAUAGACAAAAAGAGCAUCCACCGCCAAAUUGUUAGCUGCAAAAUCACACAUAUCAUGAUGCAUCAUGACCAUCAUCUAAGGAACAUAACUACACACUGAUGCACAUAAAAAUAGUGCCUUGACGGCUUGACCUUUUAGGUUUAGGAGUAUUCCUAUCAUUGAACUAGCCAAUAGAUAAAUAGGAGGUGCUAGAUAAAAGAACCAAAACUUGAAACCCACUUAGCAGGAUAUAGAAAUUUCUCAGUGACUAGUGUAGAAAGUGUCCCAAGUUUUUAAUGCAAUAUACACCAAGUAAACAGCCUGAUUCAGUUCAAGAAAUUCUCUCCAAACCAAACCUUGUAUAAACUUAUAUUCUGGAAAUAUAUCAUUUAAUCACAAAAGAAUUCACUAGAUCCAUCAACUGAUAUAUAGACUUGAACCAAAGAAUGCUUACCCAUCUUGGCAGCAGAGUUGCAGAUCUCUUCAGAGAUAAAGUCGGAAAAUGUGGAUCCUACAGCUGGAAGUUCCAUAGCUUCAUGGCGUUUCUCUUCUCUCCACCACUUCUCAAUUCUUACGCUGACACUUCUAAGAACAGCCAAUGCCUUCUCUGGGAACUGGCCCAUGGCUGACUCACCAGAGAGCAUCAAAGCAUCAGCCCGCUGCCUAACUGCUUCAGAAACAUCAGCUACUUCUGCUCUGGUGGGUGUAGGGUAUUCAAUCAUGGAUUCAAGUAAUUGUGAGGCCACAAUGACUGGCUUAUUUAGCUGCCUGCAGAGCUGAACAAUUUUUUGCUGCGCUGAUGGGACUUGUUCCAACGGUAUCUGUGCACCGAGAUCUCCUCUUGCUACCAUAGCUCCAUCUGAUGCUUGAAUGAUCUCCUCCAAGUUCUUCAAUGAGUCAAUGCUCUCUAUCUUUGCAAUAAGAGCUAUGUCACUGCAUCAGAAUAUAAAAAGUCCAAAAAGAUUGUAACAGGUGCUAACCGUUUUUAGAAUGAAAGCAAUUAUAGUUAAAACACAUACAAUAUAUGCUAACUGGCAGUUAAAAACACACACAACACAUUCAGUUAAAAACAUUUUUAAGUUAUAUUGUAACUGUCAACAGUAAAGACUGAUUGGUUUUAUAUAAAAAUUGUAAUGACUUGCAAGCAAGACAACAAAGAAAUCAGAACAACUCAGGCCAUCACAUAAUGAACAGUACAUGAGAUUGAUAAAAAAGCUCAGAUAAUUUAACUUGUAAAGAUAUGCUAACUGGCAGUGAAGUAUCCAGUCAAAUUCAAAACAAGGGUCUGGUUAUUAAUAAGAUUCAAACACAAAUACACAAUACUGGAAAUUUUAAUAUGAAGUGUUAAAUGUGCUUACGUAUCACGAGUCCGUGCAGCAAUGUAGCUUUUGAGAUGAUUAAUCACUUCAGCAGACUUGACAAAGGAUAUUGCAAUAAAAUCAACACCUUCUGCAAUACCAAAAUCAAUGUCUAACCAAUCCUGUAAUGAAAAAGAACGAGCAAGAGAAUAUAUGAAAUGUUUCCAAUAAAAAAAAACAGAUUCUAGAAAAAUUUAAUGCAGCACAGACAACUGAUAUGGCAUGCACAACAUUGGAAGUUCAUGCAAAUAAUAUUAUAAUAAUACGCAUGCCUGUAUACAUUUGCACAUACAACACAAACAACUUGUUUAGCCAUGUACACUCAUCCACUCACACUGAUAGGAGGCAACAAUUACUUGCAAAGUUUAAUCAACCACAGUCAAGUCUGAAACUGACUUUCAGCCCAUGUUGAAUUAAAAUCAAGAAGCCAACACAUAAGUUCUACUUGAAGUACAAUACUACAGUUAAUAUAGUUUACUAAUUUUUUUUUAUAAUUAUAAAUGGCAUUGAGAUCAAUUAUCACCUGAAAUUAAAAUGAUAAUUUAGAGAAGGUUACCCACUAAAGAAAUGAUGCACACAAAUGGACCAUCUCAUGGUGGUACAUAGCAUAAAGGGGAAAUUUCUAAUGGAAACUUCAUCAAAGUGAAGUUUCUUACAAUGAGAAGGAUGAUGAAAGCUAUUUAUAAAUCCCAGAAUGUAAUGGAAAUGAUGUUUCUCUUUACAAGACUUCCCAUCCAAAACAAUGUUACUUGAUUUGUGGUUUACUGUGACAUGUGGUACAGGUACAAGAUAUGACUAUUUUUAUAAGCAAUACGAGAGGUAGACUUGGUUAGUAUGAUAUAUGGGGUCACACUACACUAUACAUAUCGCACCAUUUGUCUUGAAUUAUAUGGAUGAAAAUCAUGUAAUUUAAAGUAAAAUUCUUUUAACAUUAAAUGUGUAUAUAAAAUUCAUGUAAUUUAGCUUAGAAUCAUAAAGUUAAAUUGAAUUAUUAGGCUUAUGUUAUGACUUAAGGCUAAGGAAUAAAGAAGUAGUGGAUUAGACCAUCAAUAGCAUAUUAUUCUCUUCAGUCAGUUGUAACUGCAGAAAGUAGUUAUGGGACCCAAAACAGUGUAAAUAAAAACUUACUUGUAAAGAGAUAUAUAUUCAAGAUAAUCUAUUUUUCUCUAGUUUUGCUUUGUCCUCUUCCCCAAUUCUCUUUAUUACUUUUCCUCUUUCUAUUUCUUUUCUCAACCCAAUCUACUUAUAUCUCUCUCCCCCUAUUUCACUGUUUCAAAGGGAAUUACAGGUCUGAUAUGUAACAGCUUACUUAUCUAUUCUAUUUCUUCUCCAUCACUUGAAUCACCUUCAACAUUUUAAAAUUCUUCAUUUGAUCUUUCAACUGCUCUUUUCACUUUCCAAAAGCCACGGUUGCUUUUCUUUUAUUUUUUUUUUUUUUUGCUAAUUCUCAAAACAAUAGAAGAGAGGAAAACAAAUUUGGCAGAGUUAGAGAAGGGUGUUAGUUUAAAUUUAAAUUUGACUUCACUUUUAAUAUUAAUAAACUAUCAAAAUUUUGCGUCAUAAUCACUAAUUAAUCUCAAGCAUAUAGUGGGAAACCUCUAUUAAGCCUUUUCUAGUUAUUGAAUAUACAUGAAUAACCACUAUUUGGAUAAUAUAAUUCACGGUCAGAAAGAGAUAUUACUUCUAAAAAAUAGGCAGGGAAAAGAAGGGACAGGGAAGGGUAGGAGAAGAUUCACCAACCUUAGAGGAUAUUGUGGGAAGCAUGGCAUUACGUUCUCGCACUAGACUCCCAUCCCUCCAGAAAGUCAAAUUAGCCCGUGGCAGUAACAGUCCAGGAUCAGUACAUCGACACUUGACAUCUGGACCAAUUUUCUCAAUCACCUCAAACCGUACCAUCCCACCAUCCACAAGGAGUUCGUCCCCAACUUUCACAUCUGUAUCACAUGAAUUACUGUCUCAAGAUUAUUUGAGAAUUAACAUGUGCAUCAGCAAAAAGAGAACAGAACAGUAAAAGAUGUCACUUCUCAUAAAGAUAACUUCAAGCAAAGGAUUAUGUGAUGAAAAUACCCUCAGCAAAACCAUCAUAGUUCACAUUGAUUGUGCGUUCUGGACGAGGUGAGUCAAAGGCUCUAACACUGAAAGUCCAGAUUUCACCAUCCUGCGCAUUCAGAGAAACAUAAUACAAUUAAGUUCCAAAAUUGUAAAAAAAACCUGCCUAAAUUAAAUAAGAUUUUUGUUGCAAGAACAUUUUAAAAAAUGAUUCAUCAUGAUGCUAGAUUUUGACAGCAGAACCAGAUGAUUCAUUGGGACAUAAUUCUAUCAGCAAGGUAACGCCAUCUGUGGAAGUGGAAACUAAUGAUAGUAAUGAUAAUAAUGCCAAAUCUAUUUCAUUAUAAAAGUAGUUCUUCUUUGCUCAAUGCCAAUUCAGAUAAAAACAUAGUAACAAUGUAUUUGAUCAAUAAUGACAAGGUAUCACGUUAAAUCAAGUCUUCAUUCAAACGCAGGUGUUGGCAAAACAAGCCUUUCUAUACAAUGCAUGUAUAGAUGCUAACGAAUGUGGGGAAAAAGGAUACAAUCUCAGUCAAUAACAGUUGAUACUAAAUGAAAUCCACCGGAGUGAAUCAAGUAGCAAUUAACAAAAUUCCUAACUGAGAAACUAAUCGCAGGCCUUCAUCUUAAUCUUUAUAUUCAUAGCUUCCUACGAAUGUGAAAUCAACUAUAUAACAAAAGAUAACGAGAACAAAAACAAUAGCAAUAAUUUGGAAAUCAAUACGGUAAUCUAAUAACUCGUACAAAAGAUCUCCAAUGGAAUUACGUGCGCCACUAGACACGAAAAUAUCUUUGAGUCUAAAACUCACCUCAGCUUUGGCAGAAGAAGCUCCACCAAGAUCGCCCAUGUGAAUCUCACUUCCUUCAGUAUCCAUCAUAAUGGCCACAGCAAAGCCCUUCUCCUCAUUCAGUUUCCUAACUCGCUCAAUGACGCUCUUGUGCCACUCGCGAGUUCCAUGACACAUAUUAAUCCUAGCCACGUUCAUGCCUCCGACCGCCAGCGCCUCCAGCUGCUCAAAGCCGCAUGUGGCCGGACCGAUCGUACAAACAAUCUUCGUCCUCCUCGUGCUCCUAAAUCCAUUCUCCUUCAAUUCCGCCUCCGUCACCGCAUCCACCUCAAUCGAACAAACAUCAGCCACGGAUAAUGAACUAUACUCCGUCGCCACCACGCCGCCGCCUGUACCAUUACUGGAAACCAAUACUUGAGACGACGGCGCAGAGUUGGGAUCUGAUGCAGCAGAUGUCCUGACGGAGAUAGAUUUAGGAGCUGAAGUAACCGGGAACCAGCAAUUGGAAGCAGGAAGAUUAGAUUUAGGGAAAGGAUGCUUAGUGAAAGUGAGGUUUGGGGAGCGAUUUGUUUGAGUGAAUAAAUGGAGAGACUGUGACAUGGUUGCCGAGAAAUGCAAGGAACAGUGGAGACGUCGCUGGGAAAGAAAGAGGAAGACAAUGUUUGGGGAGUUGAAAUGCGAAAUAUAGUAAUGGGUGGAGAUUUGAUUUUAGAGAGAGGGGCGGAUAUAACAAGAAACGAGGUUUGAGUGAGCUUUGUAGAAGUCGCCGAGCAGCCAGCGAAAAUCGCAUUGUGGGAUGACAAAACCAAACCCAUCUUUAAGAAUUGGAAAAAGUGAAACUGGUGCUAAACGGGUCAAAAUAAACUUCUGUUUUUUUAACCACAGGCUUUAAGGUAAACUACUACAAUUUAGCUAAAAUGAUGUAUGGGAACAUUUUAGGUGUUAUUGAAACUAGCUUUAUGAUAUAAAAAUUAAAUAAUAAUUUUUUUAAAAAAUGAAUGAGGUGUCUGGUUGUAUAUAUAAACAUUGUGAAAUUUCAAACGUACUUAAUGAAAGUCAACCUAAAAUUUUUCCAUAUUUUAAUUUGAGAUAAAAAAAAAUUCUAUGUUAUCAUUGUAAUGAGGUUAAUUAAAAUUUAGUUUAUAGUUUAGUAAAAUCAAUAGUUUAAUCUUGUAGUUAAUAUUUAUAUAUCAAUUCAUAAAAACAUAUAAAGGAUUUAUUUAUAAAUAAGUAUAAUAUUUAUGAAUUAAUUUAUAAAAAUUUAUUGAAUAACAAUCCUAAUAUUUUAGAAUUUAAUUUAUAAAAAAGACAUGAUUUAUUUGUGAGCAAUUAUAAUAUUUAUAGAUUAAUUUUAUAAUUAUAAAGACACUUAUUUGUAGAGAAAUAUAGGAAUUUAUUUAUAUAUAAUUAAAAUUAUUUAUAUUUUUUUAAAAUAAAACUACUUAUUGUAUUAAUAAAAUUUUAUCAAAUAAAAAUAUAAUAUAUAUUAUCCCAAAUAAAAAGGGAUUAUACUAGAUAAAUUCUCUAACCUUCUAACAUUAUGAUGAAUCCAUCUAACAGAAAUAUCAGUUCUAGAGUCUAACAAAAAUUUAUAAUUAUUCAAAAUCAAAUCUCUGCAUAAAAUAAUUUGGCAAAAAUGUUCCUCAAGGUCUAAACUCCUUUAUAAGAUAAUUUAGCAAAGAUAAUUUUAUUUCUUUCUUAUCUCUCUAGCAUAAAUUAUUAAAAUCUCCCAAAUAAAGUUACGGAAAAGAGCUUGUACGAUAUAAAAUUCGAAUAAGAUUUCAAGACUGACGUCGUCAUUGUAAUUCCGGAAACCCAUAAUAAUUAUUAAAUCUCUAUUGAACAUUACCUUCCGAAAUAACCGAAUCAAUAAAAAUUGAAGAAAAGACAACCAUAGAAACAGACUCAUGACUUUUCCACAUUAGCGAAAAACCUCCUCCCAAUCCUUAUGAAACAACCAUCAAAAUGUAAAAAAUUACGAAAAAAUUUCAUACGAGAAUUAAGAGUUUUUAUUUCCAUAAAAAAUAAAAUGUCUGACUUGUAACUAGGAACCGAAUUUUUUAAUGCAAUAACUGUCCGAGGAUUGCCGCAAUAAAUCUGUCAAAGAGGUUUGCAUAUUCUAAAAAUUGAUUGGAUUGUACGUGAGAAAUAUUUCCACCAUACAGAAAUUAUAAGUGACUAUCGGAAUAUCUCUGGAGUUCUUAACAGGGACAACAACAUUUUUUUUUUAUCGACAGUCAAUUGACGCAGAUCGUUUUCCAUAGAAAGGGGAAUGAAGAAGUUAGAUUUAAGGAGAGAAAUGCGAGAGUAUUGAAUCAUAAAAGUAUUACAGAAUGAAAUUUGCGUCGAAAAAAAAAAUAAGUAUUUUGAAAAAUAUAAUUAUUUAAUUAAGAGAUUAAAUUGUAUAUUUCAUUAAAUUUCAUAAACUCAAUUAUUUCAAAUCAAAAAUAUAAUAAAGGGUAUUUUGAUUAUUUUAAUUAAAAUUAAUGGAGAACUAUUUGUAAUUUUAACGACGACAACUAAUUUUAUAUGUUUAUUUAAAUGCCAAACAAUUCAAAAUAUGAAUUUUAAAAUUGAAACUUUUUUUUUUUAAAAUGGUAAAAUUGAAACAUUAAAUUGAUUUAAGCAUAUGAAUUAAAUUGCAGUUUUAUAUUUUAUGGUGAAUAUAAUUUUUUAUGUAUAAAUUUAAAAAAAUAAUUUAUGCUUAUAAAAAUAAUAAUUGAUGUGAUAUACAAGGCAAAUUAUACACGUAGAGGGAAUUGCGAUUUUUAUGUUUUGUUUCAUUAUGUUAGAAAAAGAAACGGUGAGUCUCUUAAAUGGGAAAUCAAAUUCUCUAAUUCAAGAGGAGGAUGAGAAUGAAAAAGGUAAUAAAUUAUUUCGUGAAAUUAUUUAUUUAAUUAUUUAUUUUGGAAGACUCAUUGAAUUGCCACUAUCUUUUUAAAUCAUUGUUUAUUUAUUACUUUUCUUAUCAAAUUAUUAACCAUUUUUAAUCCCUCCAUUUAUACAACUCCCUAGUAAUACGUGAAAUUACUAAAAUAUAAUUAUCUCUAAUUAAUCUACCUAUUAGGGUUUUGGAGAGAGAUGAUAGAAUAAAAAAAUAAUUUUUUUUCUUAAUUUUUGAAUUAUUUUAAUAAAAUUUUCAAUCUAAAUUUGUGAAAUCAUAAUAAGAAUAAUAAUAAAAUAUUUCAUUUGUGGAGAUAGAAGUUUAUUUAUUUAUAAAGAAUAAAAUAUUUAAAUUUCUCAUCAUAAUAAAAAUAAAUAAAUUUAUUAGCGUUAUAAUUUAAAAACAUUUAUUAAUUAUAUAAAUAAUUAACAUAUAAAAUACUUUUUAAUAAAAAAUUAUUAUUAUAUAAUUAUAAAAAUAAUUAUAUUAUAUAUUGUUUUUAAUCAAUACGUUCGAUCUUUAUAAAUUAAUGAAUUAUUAAAAAAUAAAAAUAUAAUAUAAAUAUGAUGAUUUGAUUAAUAAUAAAAUUUAUUUAUAUUAUUAUUUAAAAUAAAUACUAUAGUUAAAAAAAUUAUAUUCAAAAUUAUUUUAUAAAUAAAAUGAUAAAAUAUAAUUUUUUUCAUACAUAGAUAAAUAUUGUUUAAAUUUUUGGAAAUUUUUCUUUUAAAUUUUCUUUCUUACCGCCUUAACUUUUGAUUUUUUUGUCUUGGUUUAUUCUUUUGAAUUCUCUUUAAUAUGAGUAGUUUUAUAUGUAUUGGAAUAAUAUUAAUUUUUUUAUUAUUAUUUUUAAAUUUUUUAAUAAAUUUAAAUUUAAUAUUUUUUUAAAUGAAAAUUAGAUAUUGAGUUAGUAGCAUGAAAUUAAAUACAUUUAUCAUGAAAUUAAAUCUGGGACGCGGGUUGAAAUAUUUAAAUAUCAAAUAUAACAUUAAUGUGUUUAUGAGAAAGAGUAUAAAUUUCCAACAUAUGAAUUGAAUUCGGUAAACUUUUUAAACUGUUACAUUUUAUAUUUAUUGUUUUAAAAUAAUUAUUUUAUUUAAAAAAAAAAAAUAAAAAUAUGAUGCAUCAAAAAAUCUAAUAAUUGCUGUGCAACGACACAGAUGGAAAUUCUAAUUUAUAUAAUUUCAAAACAUAACGAUCCGAUCAGUGUAAAUUUAAAAUAACAAUUUUAAAAUUAUAACUCUUUUAAGUAAUUUCAAAAUAAUAACCAGUUAACUCAUACAAUUUACUGUAAGAAUUGAAUAAUUAAUAAUUUAAAAAUAACUAAAAUCAUGGAAAUUAAAUAAAAAUUUACACAUGAAAAAUUACUAAUAAUUACGAAACCAAUAUUAUUUAUUUAUUUUUAGUUUAAUAUCAAUGUUUAGCUAAGUAAAAAGGUUAAAGCAAUUUCUAAUAUAAUGCUUGAAAUUUAAUAAAAAAAUUCAUAAUUUAAACUUUGUUAUUUCAAUAAAAAAUAAUUUAAAAUUUUAUUCUAUUACAAAAUAUAUAUUUUAUUAAAAUUCACUAUUAAAUUAUAAUAGUUUAAUUUAUUUAAUUUUAAUUUCUAUAAAAAUAUAAUUCUUAUAAUUUUAAUAUUUAUAACAGUUUAAUUCUUUUAAUUUAAUUAAUUUUUUAAUUUAUAAUUAAUUAAUUAUAAUAUUAAUAAAAUGAUUAUUUUAUUAAAAAAUAAAAAUACUAAUAUUAGAAAUAUAUGAAUUAAAUCAUAAAUUUUAUAGAUUAGUCAGUAAAUUAGUCUAAAUUUUCCGCAAAAUUUGGGACGAUUUUGAUAUUGGUGUAGAUAUUAGUUGUCGUGCGGAAAGGGAAAGGUUUUCAUUUUGUAUUUUAUUGCGCAGUACAUCUGCUUCUGGAUCGCGGAGACGUUGAUGCUCCGAGAAUAUUCUAUUAUUCUACAGUACGAGCAGUCGAGCCCACUUGAGAUGCAAUUUACCUUUUAAGCCCCACUUUUUUUUUUUUUUUUUUUUUUUUUUUUUUUUUUUUUUUUUUUUUUUUUUUUUUUUUUUUUUUUUUUCUUUCGUGUCCUUUUUGUUUGUUAUUUUCCUUUUUAGCCCCUUUUUUUUUUUUUUUUUUUUUUUUUUUCCUGAUCUGAAGCUUUAGACGUUUAAGAGUUUGGAAAUUCAAUUAAUUCAAAUUUAUUUUCGAUAGAAAAUAUUUGUUUUUAAAUUUUAAAAUAUAUAAUACUUAAGAUUUAAAUUUGAAAGCACUUGUAAAAAGAAAAAAUCUCCAUUAAUCUAUUUCAUUUUUAUAAAUAUGUUGUUUAAAAAACUUUGGUAACACUUUAGUAAUCAAUUUUACAAAGCACAUAAUAAUAUAUAUAUAUAUAUAUAUAUAAUUAUUUGGCCAUAUUGCAGAUUAUUCAACAUGUGACGCAAUUGGAACAAGUUAGGUGGCAAAUCAGCACGCACUGGGAAGCAAUGAAAUAAAACUCUCAUGACUUUAUAUUUUUAACUUUUUUUUUCAAAUUAUACAUAAUUAAAAAAUUAUUUAUUAAAUUAUAUAAAAUUUAAAAAUAUUUUUAAAUUUUAUGUGUAAAAUAAAUAUAUUCGAAAGUUAUAAUAUCUAACACUUUGAAAAUAUUUUUAAAUUUUAUGUGAUUUAAUAAAUAAAAUUUUAAUUAUAUAUAAUUUAAAAAAAACUCUAUAUUUUCAUCUUUAAUUUCAUUUAUUCCAAGCAGAGAUGAAACCGGUCUUUAAUGUAAGAGAUAAAAGAAAAAAACUAUGAUACCAAGUUCUACUAUUAUUCACAAAUUUGAUAAUAGCUUCAUGUAUAUUGAUUUAUUUUAUAAAAUAAUUUUAAAAAUUAUGAUAAAUUCAUAUAUAACUUUAACUUUUUUUUUUUUUGAAAAUUUUAACUUAUUUUAAAAUAAGAGUUACUUUUUUAUUUUAAAUGAAAAAUUAAUGAAAAAUAAAUAAAUAAAAUUAAAUUAUUAUAAAAAUUUUAUUUUAAAUAAGAGAAUAAAAAAUGGUCUCAAGUAAGAUUAAAAUUAAUUACAUUUAAAACCUCACAAUUGGAUUUCACAGUAACAAUAUAUGUCCCUUAACACAUUAUAAAAAGCAGUAAAUCGAAAGAAGGCAAGACCUUUUAAGAAAGAGAAAAUUGAGCAAAUCUAUUUAAAAUAAUUUAAAAAUUAUUUUUGUAAUCCAUUUUUUUAUCGGUUAAGAUCUGACAGGGGGAGAGGAAUGGAAACUUAGAUAUUUGUAAAUAUAUUUUGUCAAUUUAUUUAAUGGAUAGUAUAUAAUAAUUAUUUUUAAAUUAAUUAAAUAUAAUAUAAUAUAAAAAAUAAUAAAAUUUAUUGUAUUUUUUUAAAGAUAAACACGAAUUUAUUGAUUGAACUCAUUAAAUUUAAUCAAAAUUAUGAUAAUUUUAAUAAAAUUUAUGUAAUAUAUUUAUUUAUUUUUAUAUAAAUAAUAUAUUUGUUUAUUUAUUUAUAGCCUGACUUUCAAAUUCUUUUAAAUUUUUUCAGACAUAGAUAUUAUCUUAUUUUAUUUAUUAGACAAAAGUAUAUUAUUUAUAUAUUUAAUAUAUUUUUUUCACAUUCAAAAAAUUUAUAAUUUAAUUGUAUUAUUUUUUUAAAAAUUAUUUUAUUCUGCAUUUUGCAUGACCCAGAUGGUAUAAAAUUGCCCAUUGCAUCAGGAGAGAUUACUGAUGCUGACAUGGACAUCCAGUCAUCGCCAUAAUUGGCAUCUAACUGCCAAGUUGUCACGGACAGCAGCGCUCACCAUGGUCCACAACUCCACAUCUCUCUCUUCCACCGAACGAGCGAACGAACGAACGAACGAACCCAUUCAAGAAAUUAAAGAAAAGGGCAAUCGUUUAUAAAUUUUUAUUAUCUCAUUCUUUAUUUUAUUCUGCACUUUCAAACGCAGAUCGUACAAAAAAUAAUCUAAUCUAAUCUGGGUCUGCUUUCUUUUGCAUUUGGUUCCUCUCUUCCUCCUCAAGACCCACACCCAUCUCCAUCCUUCAUCGUCUUCGUAUCCUCUAUCUAUAUCAAAUCCUUCAUCAAAGGUUCGAUCUUUUUAUUUAUUUAUUUAUUGUUCCAGUAUCGUAUAUAUGUACUCCGACCUCGAUCCUUCAUCAAUUGGAUUCUUNNNNNNNNNNNNNNNNNNNNNNNNNNNNNNNNNNNNNNNNNNNNNNNNNNNNNNNNNNNCCCCCGUAUUGUUUUAGUUUUGAUUUGAUGAGUGUAUUGAAAUAAGGCAUAAUCUUUCUUGAUAUGUGAUUAGGAUUUGCUUGAAAUAGAAGAUGGGUGCGUUUAUGUCGAAGUUUUGGUUCAUGUUGUUUCCUGCAAAGGAGUACAAGAUUGUCGUGGUUGGGUUAGAUAAUGCAGGGAAGACUACCACGCUUUACAAGUUACACUUGGGAGAGGUUGUCACUACUCACCCAACUGUUGGUAGCAACGUUGAGGAGCUUGUUUAUAAGAACAUUCGAUUUGAGGUGCCUUUUUUUUUUCUCAGCUUCUAUGUUUCGCGGACUUUCAAAUUAAUUUGUUGGGUUUUGUUCUUUAGCAUGUAUAGAAUUUAAACCUAUCUCUAUAUUUGAUGAUUUGGUUCUUGAUAUUACUAUAUAAUUUUCAGUAGCUUCUUGGAAAAAAGAGUUGCGAGUUUUGAUAUAUUAGUGAAAAGUUAAUGCCAUUUAGAUGAAGAGUCCUUAUAGUGCAAUUGAAUAAAUUAAAUUAAUUUCAAAGUCUGCAUUUGAGUGUGUUUCAGGCCAGGGUGCCCGUGAUGCCAUCAUGCUGGCUUUUACAUCCUAAUCUAUCCCACCCAUUAUUCAACCCCUUAAACUGAUACCUAACCUAAGACAUUUGUCUUUAAAUUGUUGUUACCUAUCCUUGUUGGUAUGACAUUGUCCAGUACCCGGAAAAUAUUCUAAGAUGAAAAGAGAAGCAUCAGUUAAUUAGACUAUCAAUUUAGAAAGUAUUCAAUCGCCUGGAUUUCUCAAAGAGAAUUUUAUUUUUGGUUAGUAGUUACUCAUCUCUGAAAUAGAUUGUAGUCAUCUGUUAUCAGUAUAGUAUAGUCGUGGCUAUUUAUAAUCAUUAUACUAUUAUGCAUGUUUGCAUGUGCAAGAUUUGGGAAAAAUGGCUUAUGGCAAGGGUCAAUACUUGAUACUAUUGUCAGUAUCUGACACUAAAUCAGAGGAUGGUAUUCAUCAUGCAAUUUAUCAGAUGGCUGAAUGGGAAGGAAUCAAGGGUCCAAGUUUAAUCAUUUCAAUUUCUCAUAUGGCUGGAUGAAUUGUUAGUCAGAGGUGCAGAGCCCCUAAUGGAUAUAAACUGUUUUGGAAGCUUCAGUCCUCAUACAUCUUUCCUAAAUCAGGCUUCUAGUUUUCUCAACUAGUCCUUUAGAUAUCAGUUUCCCAGUAGCCAUUAGCAACUAUACAUAUGAAGGAGAUGGAUGUCAUUUCCAUAAGCUGAGGAUGAUUUAGUGAAAACUCUUAUUUUCUUGUAUGGUUGAAUAAUUAGGGAAUUGGGAUCAAAAGGCCCUAAAUGGAUGUAGCCUUGUAGAGUCUGCCGUGGACAAUAUUCAGUCUUCACAGUCUCUCAUAAAUCAGGCUUCUUGUGGGCCCAACCCCUCUAGAUUUCAGCUUCUUCGUAGCUGUUUUGCCAUGAGCCCAAAAGUAGGGGGCAUUCUAAUGAAACAUUUCAUGUCUUUCUAUUAAAUACAAAAUUUGGAUAAUUAUUAUUGAUGGGACAAGAUGGCUGUCUACUUUCUUUGUUCCAUCUUUUAUAUUUGCUAUUGACUACCAUACUCUGGAGUUUUGGGAAUUAUAAAGUGGAGCUUUCAGCAUCAAUGCUAUGUGUGCAUACACUUGAAGAAUGUUAUUUGGUUGCAAAUUGCUGGUUCUAUGAGAAGCUAGUUAACUCAGCUUAUGUUCUUUGUUGGUUUUUAAGAAACUAGGAAAUUUGGAUUUGCUGUGUAUUUGUUGGCGAGAAGAAUGCUCUNNNNUUUUUUCCCCCUCUAAAGGAUUGGUUGUGUGAACUUGAAUUCAUAAAAAAGAAAAAUGCGAACAAGUUUGGGUCAUGGUACCUUAUUUUUGGUGAUUGUUCUGUGUAUGAUGUAGUGUUGUUACCGGCGUUACCCUGAAUAAUUUGAUUUUCCUCUGGUUAUCUGGUUAAAUAGAUUGGCAACUAAAUGUGGCGAACCACUUUUCAUGGCAGUUGUAAAAUAUUAUUCCAUGCAUCUUCCUUGGCACCACUUGUUUGGGAGGGGGAAUAAAAUCAGAGAAUCAUAAAUAUGCUAUAUUUUCACUCAAAAUCAAACUUUGUGGACUAGGUUUCAUGCCAUCAUGCAAAUUUUGUUUAUUGUAGAAUAAAACUUUCUUGAGUUUCAACUUUCGAUUGAUUCUGUCAGACCUGUUUGCUUCAUCAAAUGUUAAUGGCAUUGCGUGGAUGAUACUGUAGUUUUCGGUGAAGUUAGAUUGUGAACAUGAGCAAAUUUAUCUGCUUUUCUCAUCAGGUUUGGGAUCUUGGUGGACAAGAAAGACUCAGGACAUCAUGGGCAACAUAUUAUCGGGGGACUCAUGCUGUCAUUGCGGUGAUAGACAGUACAGAUAGAGCUAGAAUCUCCAUCAUGAAGGAUGAACUUUUCAGGUUGCUUGGACAUGAGGACCUACAAAAUUCUGUUAUACUUGUUUUUGCAAAUAAACAAGACCUCAAGGAUGCCAUGACCCCAGCUGAGAUCACCGAUGCACUCUCUCUUCACAGCAUAAAGAAUCAUGAUUGGCACAUCCAGUCCUGCUGUGCACUUACUGGUGAAGGUCUCUAUGAUGGCCUAGGGUGGAUUGCCCAGCGAGUUUCUGGCAAAGUACCAAGUUGAAGAGAAAAUGGAUUAAAGGGCAAAGAAAAGAAGGUUCAUUUUUCGGAUAUUGAUGGUUUUGAAAGAUUUUUAAAAAGUGUCAUUGUGUACUAUCAAACUGUGCUCAAUACUCAUUACCAUUGCUGUAGAUUGUUCCGUACAUUUGAAUUUCCCAUAAGAAUUCGUCAUGUAUUGCACAAUGAAGGAUUUCAUUAUAAAUUUGGAAAUUUAGAAAUGUUGCCAUAUAACUAUUACUUUCUACACAACGAAGCACCCUGUCAAACAUAUGUCAAAGCAUUGCUAAAAAAUGUUGCACUCUGUAACUUGAAGACUCUGCCAACAAUCAACAAUCAACAAUCAGAGCUAUAAAGCCAGAACUCAACCAUCAAUAUCAGAGAAUCCAACAUCUGCAACCUUGUGAUUCUUGCGGACCUUCAAACCAUCGAUCCCAUAAUGGAUUUAGAGGGCCAUUUGUUCUGUCACACCACAAUAAACAGGCGUAGAAAUAACUAAUGUCAUUGAUAAUGCUUGCAAAUAAAUGCAGAGGAAAAAAAUUUAUACAACUGGACAUUUACAUUGGCAGUAGAGGAUCUGGUCUAGUUUCCACGUUAAGCAGCAUUCUGAUGCACACAAAACAAAAAUAGCUUACAAAUGAAAAUGUAUUCAUAGAUAACAAUCAGGCAAUUGAAAACUCUAUUCCAGGAUAUAAAGCAUUUGAGUGAGCGCUAUAUAUAUAUCUUUUAUUUUAUUUUCUUUUUUAUUUAUAUUUUUAUUUUUUAAACUUACUCCUUGCAUGCAGCUGUGGCAUUUUCCAUCUUAUCAAGCUGUUCCAACUCUUCCUGCACAUACAUUCAUUUCAAACAUCAAUUUCAGUCGGUAGCCUUAAUCAAUAUUUAUAGCACUCAAGGUAGGAUGUCAGAUAAUGGAUGACAGAGCAUUUCCUGAUGGUACUGACGUUAAUUACAAACCUUAUUUGAAAAAAAUGCAGUUCAUUAGAAAGCACCAAGGAUUCUUCAAAAGCUAAACUUGUAAUCUAUAGUGGAUUAGUUUUUAACAUAGACUGAAAGUAGAUUCCAUAUGCUCAUGAUAGGAAAGCUUCUGAAUCUGAUUUUCUAGGUGAGGUAUUAAUGAAAGUACGCAAAUACACAUCUUUUCACAAAGAUUUCAUAUGAAACAAGUCUUACCUGCCAUCAUGUAUGCUUGCAAUCAAUUUUCAAAUGGAGAUAAAAAUUUGGGGGCACAGAAACAGUCAGAUCCUCAUAAAACCUACUUAUAAGGAAAUCUUCAGAAGUGGUCAUCCCUUGUGGUGUGGAAAGUACAUCACCGGAGCACACAAAAAAAAAAAGAGAAAAAAAAGGAGACUGCUGAUAUGGAAAUGGAAUUCUAUGAAAAAUUGAGAAGUAUAUACAGUUUGUUGUGAAAUCACUGGGAAAUGACGUCCCAAUGGCUUCCAAGUAGGGACAGUUUUUUAUGAACAUUUUUCAAAGACCGGCACGAUCGUAAUGUUGAUAGAAGUUCUCCCUGCAGUUUCCCAGCCCCAAAAAAGACCCAAUAUAAAUGGGAAAUUUCAAAUAGUUUCAGAAAUAUUUGAGAAACCAACACGUAACAAUUUUCAAACAAAUAUGUCUAGUUGCAAGAUUUUUACCGCAAAAUGUAAUAUAAUUUUGUUUUUAUCUACUUUGAUUUUGUGACCUAAAAACAUUGUAUUUUGUUUCUAAAAUUUAUGCAAGAAUAGGCACCUUGAAAGAAGCUUGGCAGAGAUAGUAAAUUCAUUCUCAUACUAAAUUAUUGCAGUCAAGAAGCCUUAGUAAGAGCUACAGAUCUGUAAAAAGGUUUUAUUGUUUAUUUUUUGGAGAAGACGGGGUGGAGUUUGCUAUUGGCUGAUGAAGAAAGGGGUGUCAGUGUCACAAGUUGGAUAUAAUUCAAUCGUGGGAAUCUUAACAUGAAAUGUGCAUCUCUGUGAAGGCAGGUGCUUGUCUAUAUCCAAGCUAGGAACUGCCAUGUUUGGCAUAUCUGUCUGACAUACAAAAUUACCACAGUUGUAAUACUAAUUGGCUCUGUAUUCAAAGGAUAGAAUGUAGCAAAGCAAAUAUUUCCACCUUGCUCACAACAAAAUGGCUUCAAAGUUCAAUCUAAUCUAUAAAUUGGUAAAAUAGUUGAUUAGGACUUGAGCAUUGAAAUUCAUUUUAAUGAUUGACCAAGAAAAUAGCACCUAUAAUCCUCUUCUUUGCAAGACAAUUGUCCAGUGAUCUUAAUCAAGAAAACCAACUGAAGAUAUUGGAAUGCAACUAUCAACUAAACAACACCCAAUUUCCACCAAUCUCUUAGAAAUAUGGGGAGCAAAAUCACAUUCCAAUUCAUAGCUAGCAAGGUCCAGCAUUGAAAGUCUGAAAUAUUGGAAGUCAAAGCCAACAAAAAAUUGAGAAAUUCGUUUGCUUUUCUCAUCCUAAUAAGAUACCCAAUUAAGAUUUCUAUUGCUCAUAUAAAAUAUUCUCGUGCAAUCAAACAAAAACAAAAAGAUAAACACAGAGAGAUAAAAUAAAAAGAAAUAACCUCUAAAAAUCUGACUUCUUGCUCAAGCCGCUUGAGCUCUGCUUGUAUCCUAUGCUUUCCUCUAGUAUCAGUAGCAGACGGCAAAGAGUUGAGACGUUGGGUUAUCGGACCCGAGGAAUCGGACCUAUCCGAUUGCAUCUCUUAAAGACAAAACAGUAACAGAAAAAGCCCUAGCUUUAGCUUAGCUUCCCCCUUUUGAGAAACAAGAAAGAAACAAAAGUGCGUCACAAGAAAGAUGGCAUUAGAGAAGAAAAUAAGAGUGACCCAGAAAUCUGUAUGGACCCCAUGUACUUGGAACUAACUGUUCUCUUCCAUUAAAGCAGAAACAGAAGGGAUCUGUACAAAGGACUCAAAGUAAGACGAAGGGGGGAAGAGAGAGAAGGGUUGUUUUGGCCUUUUGUGAAGCUUUUUUCCAAUGGAAGUAGGGACAAAGAGAGAAGUUUUAUUCUUGUCGUGAAUUGUAUGAAAUGUGAAACUCUUUUUCAUUUGGUGUCUUUUUUGUCUCUCUUUCAGUCUACAGUUUUCUCCACUUUCUAUGCCUUUCCUCCACGCGACGUCUCUCCCCCGUCGCCAUAGGACUAAGUUUAUAGUUAUGAGACGGAAAUAACUUGAUGUAUUUAAUUAUAAAAAUGUUAAAAUAAUAAAUAAAUUUUUUAAAAUUACUUUUUAAAAAAAUGUUAAAAAUAUAUAUUUUUUUAAAAAAUAACAUUUUUAAAAAUUAAAAUUUAAUGUGAAACGGAAAUAAUCCAAAAACCUUAGAGGCUCACCGAGAUGUUCCGACCAUUUUAUAUAAAGCAUCACUACGAUUCGACGAAUAAGAAGUUUGAAACGACGUCGAAAAUCACCGCAAGCUUCCAAUACGUCGAGUCCCUCUAUGGUUCCUUCCUUGAGUUGCUCCACGGGCCACGAUGGUCUCGUGCGACGCGUAACAAUUAUUACAUACAGGCUCAAACUACGUGAAUAUAAUAAUUUGGUACUCCUUAUAAAAAUAAAUUUAUGAUUUUUUUUUAUAAAUUAAAAUAGGAAAAAAAAAAACUUUGGGCAUGACUUGCAUAAAACAGUAGAUUAAAAUAUUAUUUUCAUAUAAAAUUAAAUUAUAAAUUUUAAAAUAAAUUAUAUAUUUUAAAAUAAAAAAAUUAUAGAGUAUAUUUUUUUUACUAUUAUCAAAUCUCCCCAACCAACAAGACCCGGCAAUGAGGCCCACCCUCGCCUUGGGCUUAAAAGAGGUUCAUGUUAUCUUUGCGCGUCAUUAGACAAGCUUUUUGAAUUUUAAUAAAUGAAUGGACUUUAGCAUUAGAACCAUGGUCAUGGAUGAAAUCGAAACUACGUGGUCUUAGUUAAUUCAAAAUAUAAAUUAAAUUUAAUUAUGUAAAAAAUAAAUAUAAAAAAUACGUGGCUAAAUAGCCAACUUGCCACGAACUUUAAACAUGUAAUUGCAUUUGCGUAUGAAUGUCCUCUUCGCACACAUGUAUUCGAUGCACCGUCAAAUUAAGAUCGCUAGAUUUAACAACAUGAAUAAGACAAGUGCAGCCAAAAAUGUUCUAUUUGUACUUCCCCGUUCACGUGUGCGUCUGUAUAUUGAAAGAACAAAUGAAUUAAUUAUAAUAUGAUUUUUUUAUCGGUAAAAAUUAUUAAAAGUUUACAAAAA